rnacentral:lncRNA from 1 species
AAAGCAUCGGCUACUUUGUUGGUUGUUCCAAACUUAUGCACAAUGAGGUAGUUAAACCUUUCCAGGUAUGCUGCCCAUCUUGCUAGCAUGCGAUCCACAUGCUUUUGAUUUCUAAAAUGCUUCAAGGAUUGAUGGUUAGUCACAACAAUGAAUUCCUAAGGCAACAAAUAGACUUCCCAAGUCUUUAAAGCCGCGAAAACAGCAUACAAUUCUUACUGAUAGGUACUCCAAUUUUGUCUUGCCUCACUUAACUUGUCACUAAAGAAACCAAUGGGUUUUCGUUCUUGAGAUAGAACUGCCCCAAUGCCUACUCCACUUGCAUCGUACUCUAACUCAAAAGUCUUAGUAAAAUCAGGUGGUGCCAAGACUGGAGCUUGUGACAACUUUGCCUUUAUGUCUUUAAAACUAGCUUCAGCAAAUUCAUUCCACCGAAACUUUCCUUUCUUUAGGCAUUCAGUAAUCGGUGCCAUGAAAUUUUGGCCAUUCUCUGAUUGCUUCAACUUUGGAGUCAUCAACAUGAAUGCCCUCACUUGUUAUGACAAACCCCAAGAAAAGAAGUCAUGUUUGAAUCUCAACUGACGGUUGCUCUUCGCCUCUAACAAUAAGUGCAGCACACAUGUUUGCCUCCUUCAAGUCUUCCCUAAACUCAUAAAAGGUGUUGGAAAUGGUUAACAUAUUUUUUCUCUCCUCCUUAGAGGUAUUACCAUUUGAUUGGUUUGGUAGGAUGAUGAUCUUUCUCUUGUUCUAAGUGAAAGAGUAAGAAUUUUCCUUCCAUUUGUGUGUAGUAUCGACAUCAAACUGCCAAGGUCUCCUAAGAAGAACAUGCUGGCAUCCAUAUCGACAACAUCACAUAACACAUUUGAGCGGUAGUACUUUCCCAAAAAGAGUGGCAGGUUGCAUUGUUUGGUGACCCUCGUAUUCACCCCUUUCUUGAUCCAUCCAAUAGUGUAGGAAUCAUGUCUCUCAAGCUUAAAAUGGUUCACCAAAUUCUGCGAGAUAAGAUUCUCACAACUGCAAGUAUCAAUCACUAAUUUGCAUACCUUGCCAUUCACCAUGCAUUUGCCCUCAAAUAUUUUCUUCCUUUGUGUGUUGUCGGCCUGUGGCGUUGAGCACAAGAGAUGCUGAAUCACACAUACCACCCAUUCACCCUCUUCUGCACAAACAUCUUGGCCUUCAACAUCUUCAGAUUCAUAUUCUUCGUCAUCCUCGCCAUCAUGGAUUGUUGUGUUGACAAAUUUCCUCUAUGGGCAAUUGCUAGAUACAUGUCCCUCUUCCCAACAUUUAUAGCAUUUUACCACAGGCUUUGCCCUACUCUUGCCUCUAGCUUGCUUCGGGGCAGGUUGCUUUGUCUUUGGUUGGGUGGUCUUCUCUUGCACUUUAUGGGGGAGACUCCUAGACGGGCCUUCCGUAUGUGAAUAUGGAGCCUUACUUGCCUUUCUUGUCUUCACCAACCUCUCGGCCUUUAAGGCUAGAGCUUGUGCUUGGUCAAUGGACCAAACCUGUUCCAUCAUCAAACGAUCCUAAGUAGUGUCAUUGAGACCGUUGAUUUAUCUUGCAAUUUGUUGAUUUUAGUUUCAACAAGGUUGCACCUCACUUGUAGCUUUAGAAACUCUUGAGUAUAUUCUGAAACAGCCAUAUUUCCUUUAACACAAUUCUGGAACUGAAUAAAUAGGAUCUGAUCAUAAUCAGCAGGCAAAAAUCUUCCUUUCAAAAGAUUCUUCAUUGUCUCCAAGAUCUCACACAAGGUUCUCCUCUUAGUCUGCGGUCGUCUUGAAGGCGAUGCCACCAUGCACCAGCUCCUCCUUUUAGCUUGUAUGUGACCAAAGAAACUCUACGGUCUUCUGGAAUAUUCAUGACAUCAAAAAAAGUCUCCACCUCGUACAACCAAUCAAGGCACUCUUCAAUAUCAACAUUUUCAUUGAAAGUGGGGAUUUUAGCUUUCACCUUGUAUGUAUCUCUCGCAUUUGUAGCAUUGGUUACUCUCGGAUACGCAUAGAGGUCAGGUUCUUCAAGACCCUCAUCAGAUUCUUCACCUUCAGAAGUUUCAGCAUAUGUUGGCCUCCUUGAAGUACGCUGAUGUGCAUGUCGUUGUGGUACUUGAGUUCGAAGAUGAGCUUCCUUCCUUCGCCGCCGAACAUCUCCUUCCUCCUUAGAUGUAUCUUCUUCAUGGGUAGCAGGAGGAACACCUUUCCUUAUUAUCUCAACCAACUGAUCGAAUCUCUAGUUAAGAUCCUCACUAGCGCUUGGAUUUGUUGUUCUGCAGCAUCCGCUCUCUUUCCCAAAUCCUCCAUUGCUUGCUGUAGCUCCCUCUCAAUGAGGAAACCAGCAACUAGAACAGAUCAGCAGGGCUCUGAUACCACCUGAUGCAGCACAAGGUUUUGGAGGAACAACUCCACCUUGCUGCUACAAUAUAGACAGCACAAAUGUUAAAGGAACCACUUCAACAUGCUGUGCUAGAUAUCGCUCUAGGGGCGAGGAACUGCCAAGAGUUUAAUCCAAACUCUUAACACACAACAUCUAAGACAAAGAACAUAAAUUGCUCGUUAUUGAUAGAUAGUGGUCCCUAGUCCCCCAAGAUAGAGGUGUGGACCUCUAUUUAUCAUGAGCCUGCACUAAUUAGCUCUACUUAUAACUAGAACCUUCUAGGUAACACUACUCAAAGUUAGGAAAAUAUCCUAGUUAAAACUUAUAGUAGAACACUCUAGAAACUACCACACACCUAUGAUUAAAAGAUAAGUUAUUUAGAAUAUAGUAGAAGUGUGUAGAAGCAUUGAGAGAUCUGACUUCUACUUUUAUUUUAUUUUGGUUUUUUCUAUUGUCCCUCAUCAAUAUACCGUUGGGCCACUUAUGGUGGGCUUUUAUUUGCACUUGGAUUUAAAAAAUAUUAUUUUAUAUCUUAAAAUAUUGGACAGCAAACCACGUGGUCACCAACGAUCCUCAUCCUGGCACACGGGAUUUGCCCGAACGACUGCAAGGACAGAAACACAUGGGCACCAACACCAAGAUCAGUCGCUAGAAUAGAACAGCAUGGAACUCACGGAAAAUGAGUCGGGGACUUUGAGUAUUAAUCGGCCGGGAUCACGUACGUUUCGGACGAGAUGCUCGGGGCUCUUGUGAAUUCGGGAAUUGCUUGUCGGUAUUUUGGGCUUAUAGCUGAGUGGCUGACUUCGACUUUUGGAGAUCUAAUAGAUAGUCGGCUAUAUGUGAAAAGGUCGACCGUUCACUGUAAACCUAUCAGCUAUUUAUAAUCCCUGUCAGAAAAAAUAGAUUUGUAGUAGUGAUAGUUUUUAAGUUAAUUUUGACUAGAAAAAUGAAAUAGAGUUUGUACCGAAAAAGUUGGCUCUUUUCCAAGACUAAAGUUUUUAUCAUGACCAAAUUUUUGUAGGGUUUGGUAUGAUGCAUUGUUGCCAAAAUAUACUAUGCCAACUUUUUGAUCAAGACCACAAAUUUAGCCUUUAUUUAGAUGAUUGCCAACAAUUUGGUAUGGGAAUGCCUCUUAGCCAGAGCUAGUUCAAAUUGUUGACCAAAGUUGGAAACUUAUGGUCAAGAGAAUUUGUGGGUUGUUUUUUGUCUAAACAGAUUUUUGGAAAGGAAAACUUGGGCUCAACAAACACAACCUUAAAACCUGGAUCCAACAUUGUCAAAUGCAGCCACCAAAUAUCGUUUCCUAGUGCAAAAAAGAAGCUAGUUUCCACAAAGCUAAUAUGCUAUAUGAAGGUGAGCCCCCAUGUCUUAAUCACUUGCUUUUUGGAUGCCCGAGACCUCUGAAGGUCUGGCACUUUCUGGGAUUAGACGACGUUAUAGAACAUGCUGUGCAAGUUGAUCAAGCAGGAAAAGUCGUCUUGGAAUUUGUGAGAUCAAGAUAGGCAAUCAGAGGGGGGGGGGUGAAUGAUUGCGCGGAAGCAAAUUAAAACUUUUUCCGAAAGUUCAAACCCUAAAUCACCUUUCUCACCGUGAUAAUAAAAUAGCCGUAACUUUUGAUUGGAUGAACCAAAAAAUAUGUAUGAGUAUCCAAAAGAAAGGUAUUGAAAUUAUCUAAUCAGCACAACAAGAAUAAACUCAAUUGGACUUACCAAUCAAAAGAUAUGAUCAAAUCAGUAACAGCUGAUAGAAAGUUACGAGAAUUAAUCUAUAAUCGAUUUCGAGGAAUAACAAGAAAGAUGAAAUAAUCGCGAUCUUCCUUGAUCUCGUGGUAAACCUGCAGAAAAGUAUUAUGAACUCGUGAUAAACCUGCAGCAAAGUGUUAGAAAGAUCUAACACGAAGAAUCCACGAAGAUCCGAGAAGAACAGAGAUGACACCGCCAACAAAUCUCUUUAUUGCGACGAUGUCGAUCGAUUAGAAAAGAUGCAACCAUGCAUCCAAAAACUCUCUAAGAAUUAAUCUAGAUUCAAAGCUCUGAGUGCCCUCACGUUCUUGCUAAAAGCCUAACUAGGACGCCCGCUAUUUAUAAGGGAAAAUUCGUGACCCUAAACCGAAUCCGAAUCCAACACGAACUCCUCUGUCCCGGUCGGUAUUUUGCCCGUGGGGCCCGCAUACGACCUCGGAUUGAGAUGACUUCAAAAUCAAAGUUGUUCGUCUCGACGACGCGCACAAGUUUCAUGUGGACCACUUUUCCAUCUGAUGCCAUCUUUAUGACGCUACUGUUUAAUCUUUAAACAACUCUCAUCCAGCCACGGCUGGACCUACAUAUCUUCACGUCGAUGCCACUCCAUGCCAUCAACUCUUCUUGUGAUGUCUUUAAAACUCGACCAUCACGUAUCGAAUAUCUCCAAUACCGUACAUAUCCGGUAUAAACAACGUACAACAAACCGGUGCCCUUCCGGAUCAUCAUAGCCUUCACUUCCAUUGUUCUUUCGCAUGAACGUCCUGCAUGACCUUGAUCCUCGACCUCAGCUUCUCCCAAGCUUCGUCCCUCGAUCCCGUCAUCGACCACGUUCCUCUAGCUCCGGCAACACCUGAAAGCGAACACACAAAUAACCAGUACGAGCACAAGUCCACGACUUGACUUAGGGUAAGUUCCACACAACUCACGCCAUGUUUUCACAUAAGAAACUAAUGGAUCAACACACCAGUAGCAAAGCACUAAGUCCAAACAAGAUACAUCUCAUCACAUAAGUAUCCAUAUUACCCAAAGUAUCCACAUCAAUGUUUCAUCUAAAACACUUGCCAAUGUUACACAUCACCUAUGAUUUCACAGAAUUUCUCAUUGAAUCACAUUAAUGUGAUGAAAGAAAAGCCCCUUUGAUUGGGACUACCGCUUGGUCUUUGGUGGGAGAGAAGGAAAGCAGUGCGGGGAGAACCAGUGCAAAUCCCUAGCCAAUCCGCCAUUGCAAUCCAGGUGGCAACGGAAAAUUUCGUAAGAGACAGAGGCAAGAAGGCAAGCAUCCGGCGACAUGGCUGGGAAAAGCCUCCUAGAGACAUCGUUAAACUUAAUGUGGAUGCUGCUUUUGAUCCCAAUUCUCUGGAUGGUACGAUUGGUUCAGCCCUUCGUGAUCAUGAUGGGUUGUUUAUUGCCGCUGCGAAUCAGAGGAUUGAACGAUGUCCUAACGUCUCGAUACGUUGCGGAAGCUAUGUCACUGUAUUCUUUAUAACUCGGGUACCACGGAGGUGAUCAAAGUGAUGAUCAAGGGGGACAAUCGGCAGUAUUGGAGCUGCAAUGUAUGAUGACUUCUUCUUUAUUAUCAAAUUACUAUGUCAAGAUUUCUUUUGCUCAUUGUCCUCAGGAAUCCAAUGACGGUACGCAUGAAUUAGCGAGAUUAACUAAAUUCUCUCCUCCUGGAGUGUGGCUCCUUGAUCCACCUUCUAGUAUAGCAGAUCAACUUUUGAAUGAUGUAAUUAUUAUUGCCAAUGAACAAAGAGGUGUUUUACCGGUAAAAAAAGCUUAUAUGCUAUAGUGGGCAAGUAUGAGUAUUCAUAUAUUAAAUGCAUGAGUGUGUUUUCACCCUUGCAUUUAAUGCUAACAAAUCACGUCGAUCAGAAGUUUUCGAGAGCUGGCUAUUUUAGCGCCGGCUUCUCCGGUAGUUAAGAAAAGCUAUAGCGCAGCUACAUGCACCGGCACUAAGUCAUUUAGUGGUUUAGUUAAAAUCAUAAAAUUAAAAAAAUAUCACCCAGUCUGGCAUAAUAUAUCAUGUACAGUGACACCAUUGCAAAUGCCAAUCGGUAGUAGCUAUCUUUUUAAAAAGAGAAGAUAAACAUGAAAUGGAAGCUAGGAUUCUCAACGUGAUUUUGGAAUGAUAAAAGAGGGAAUGAGUUUGGAGGAAGAUGUACUUGACGAUUGCCUUGUUCUCAAAAAGGCUGUGUCGAUCUCAUUUCAACAGUGUCCUCGUGAAGCUAAUUAAGUAGCUCAUGAUUUUGUUUUACCACAAGUAGCUCAUGAAUUAGCGCAUAAUGCCAGCCAGCCAUGACAGUGGAAAUAAACGGUGGAGAGAAUAAAGUAGGUUGUUUGGUUGACUUGUUGAUUUUUUUGAAGAACGUAGAGUUGUUACCUAGACGAGAUUAGAGGACUGAAAAACGAUCAAACGGCUGCAUGCUAAUCGAAGCCGCGCAUACAACAAUCAACGCUAGAUAUCAUUUCCGGAUAUACAUGUUUCUAGAUAGUACAUACGGACUAGUACAAGGCCAAGCCCCAGCCUGUAAGUCUUCCACACAACACGUGUGAAUUGUGAUCUAGUUUCUUGCCUCGCUCGACAUGGCUCCGCCGGAGAUGUGCCGAGGUAGCGCAAUGACUGAGUAUGAGACGACGUCUUUCUUGAUGGGCCGGAAGAGGUCGGAGGCAUCAUUGCGAAGGCCGCCACGAAGGAAGACGGUACACCAUGCAGUGGCGCAACUGCAGAAGGUGUUCCUGGUCACGAACCGGUUCCCGCUCUUCUCCAUUGUGCCAAUUGUCGUUACUGCUGAGUACAUCCACCUCAGUCGGUUACGUAUGUGAUUGAUUUGUGCCGUACAAUAUCAAUUUAGGGUGGUGUUUUCUAAGACUUAAAUAAAAUAUAGCAACAUAUUGUUGCUAGGGCAUAUCGAUCUCCUCAAUCUUGAUGAGGGCAUAUGCACUAGAUCUAUUUUUUAUUUAUCAAUGUUAAAAAAUAUAGAAUAGAUCGAUCGGCAAUAGUUUGGUCAUUCGUGUAAUACAUUAGCUAGCGAGUAAACAACAACAUACACGUUGGCAUGGGAGAAUUCUUUGAUUUGAUCAACAAGACAUGCAGUCUAUAGAAAUUGAUGCACUUUGUGCGAACCAUAUAUGUCCAGAGCAACCUUUAAGAAUCGACUAGAGUGGCAUCUUUGAUUGCAUUUUUAAGUUAUCCAUGACUGUUCGUUGAAUUUCUUUGAAACUAGCAAUGUUUUAGUUUUUUUAAUUAUUUUGUGUACGAUGUGUCGAAUGGAGUAUGAAAACUUGCCUCCUGUGCCAGUUUAUCAAGCUCAGAAAACACAUCCAAUGGUCAUAUCCCCGUAAUAGAUUUCAUUGUAACAACUUUCAUUUUUUUUCAUGCUUGUGUAAUUUUAUACCUUUGUGGUUGUGAUACUGUGUUUUUUGGUGUGGCGGUACACCUCAUUCGGUGAAACACCCCGAUUUGUAGUUGUAUAAAACCAUUGGAUGCAUGCAAGUGUCAUCAUUCUAAACCUCCUACUACAAUAUUCUCUAAAUACUCUACAUAAAUAUCCUAGUAUAGAUAUUUCUUAUCACUCCAUGAAGAUAUUCUUCUAUUGUCUUUCAUAGUAAAUAUCAUCUUGAUCAUGCCGCCGUGGUCUUGUUCUCUGCCUUUAUCGCCAUCGAGGUCACCCAUCCACCCAAAAAGCGGCGUCACUUGUUAGGGUUCGGGAGGUAGCAUAGAAGACAUAGGGACUAAGAACGAGUGACGAAAAGCAGAAAAGCGAUGCCCAAGUUUACCAUUCUAAUGGGUACCGACAAGUUGCCCCAGGCCUGCGUUGUGUUGGUCAAACGACUCACAUCACCCGGUAAGCUGUGGAGAUACACACUGAGGACCGGUGGUAAAGAACUUAAAAAAGAAUUAUUAACCAAACAUGGGUUUUCAAAAUUCAGGGACUAAGAAUUGACACCUUUGAAAUUGAAUUAGGAUAUCCAGUAUAUUUUAGUCUUUUUAUACUCAACUGGAGAAAACGUUGCACCAUGUUACUUUCGUGUGGUCAAGGUCAAGGUCCUGGUCCUUUGGUGGAAAUGUUCGGUUGCUUUUAUAAUAUACGUAACACAACUAUUUGUUUGGUUGUACUUGACCUGCUGGUUAGUACCUCAUGGCCACUAGUUGAGGUUGUGAGUUCGACCCUUGGGUGUCUACUUCUUUGUUGGGUCCCUUUUUCUUCAUUUGAAUCUUUUUCCUUUUCUUUAUUUACACGGGAUAUUUAUUUAUUUUUGUCUCUUUUGAUUUUUCUUAUUUUUUCUUACUUGCAGUUCAAAUUUGAAGAAUUGGAUUUAUUUCUUGGUUGACUCUUUAGCCGUUCGAUGUGACACAAAGAUUUAUUGCACCGGACGGCUAAAAUUACACGUGAAAUUUUAUGUGAAAAUUUGGAUUUUGAAAUGGGCAAUUGGAUAUUUCACCUUCGGACGGCUAAAAUUGCACAUGUUUUUCUGUGUGCAAAUUUGGAUUUUGAAAUACACAAUUGGAUAUUGAACCUUUGGACGACUAAAAUUGCACGUGAAAUUUCGUGAGAAAAUUUGGAUUUUGAAAUGUACAAUUCGAUAUUGCACCAUUGGACGGCUAAAGUUGCACGUGAAACUUUGUGUGCAAAUUUGGAUUUUGAAAUGUGUAAUUGGAUAUUGCACCUUCAGACGGCUAAAAUUGCACAUUUUUUGUGUGCAAAUUUGGAUUUUGAACGUGCAAUUGGAUAUUGCACCUUUAGACGGCUGAAAUUUCUGUGCAAUUUUUAGAAUCGCGUGCAGAAUUUCACGUGCAAAUUUUAGAAUCGCGCACAAAAUUUUACGUGCAAUUAGAAACACGUAUAAAAUUUCAUGUGCAAUUUUCAGAAUCACGCAUAAUUGUUAAAAAAUCGUGCAUAAAUUUUCACGUGCAAUUUUUAAAUUUUAGUAAUCUAAAACAUGUUGUCACAAUGAAUUCAACAAGAAAACCACAAAAAAAACUAGGUUCCUUGCAUGUACGAAUCGGAAAAUGUGGCGUUGUUAAGCCGGCAGGCUUAGGCGCAGUCCCGAAAUAAUUUCCGUUUACCCUUUACCAGCAAAUACUACUCCUUUGGUGUUGUAGUAUAUAGAUUCUAGCCCUUAGUGUUGGAUGUGAUCCAAAUUCCAGGGGGCCGAAGUUCCGGCCCAACUUCCGGUCGAACCUCCGGUUGCUCUCUGUUACUUUUCGGGAAAAUGCGGAACUUGCUGCGGAACUUCCGAAUAUUCAAGAAUUACCGGAACUUCCGGCCUCCAACCGGAACUUCUGGUGUGCCCGUUACGGAUCUGUUUUGCCCUAAUGCUCCUGCUAUAUAUACCCCUUGUAAGCCGCCGUUUUGGGUAAGGUUCUCACGAGUUGCAUCUGUAGAACCUUCCUGGCGUUCUAAACACUCCCCAUAUAGUGAGAUUUCGUUGACUGGCACCCGUGGUUUUUCCCUCACGUUGUUUGAGAGGAUUUUCCACGUUAAAUCUGUGUGUCCUUGUGCUGUGAUUUCUUCUUAGUUAUUCGUUCUUGCUUGUCCGGUUCAUAAGACUUAGAUUUGUUCAAGAGCUUAAUGGAUGGCUUGUCAUUUGUCCCUACCAGUCCAAUCUGUUUUAGAGAACAAAAUGCCAACUUGGAAACCCGGUGCAAAAAUGCUGGUCAGUUCGAAGAAAGAGAUAAUUUCAUAUUUGCCAUUGAAAAUUUGCUCAUAUGCCCAAAUGCCACUCAAAAUUUGCCAUUUUCAAAUAUGCCACUCAAAUUUUGCAUGGGGUACAAAUAUGCCACUACCGUUAGUUGACCGCUAGUUGACCGUUAAGAAAGAGAUGAAAAGACAAUUUUGUCCUAGGUAGUAUGUUGAUUUUCCCUCUACAACAAAGCACUCGUUUAGAGAACUUAUAAUUUCAGGUUUUUAAGAUGCAGUAACACAACAUUUAGGAGUAAGUUUUAGCAAUAAUGAUUUUGGCAUGAAAACUGAAAAUUUGAGCAGCACUUCCAUUGAUUUUACCUAACAUCACAAAAUUCAUAAUAGCUUCAGAAGAAUAAUAUACUAAAACUCAUCAUACUUUUAGCAUACGUGCUCGCAAGCAUUCCAACAACGUAAUGUUCAAAAGAUAAUAGUCCGGUGACUAGGAGCAUUUAGGUCAAUAUGAAAAACUGACAAUUGACUUAACGGUCAACUAACGGCAGUGACAUAUUCGUACCCCAUAUAAAAUUUAAAUGGCAUAUUUGAAAUAGUCAAAUUUUAAGUGACUUUUGGGCAUAUGGAUAAAUUUUCAGUGGCAAAUAUGGAAUUCUCUCUCGAAGAAACGUACAGAACACACGCGUAUACUCACGAUCGGACUGUGCAAUCGACUGAGACAUGGACGUUCGCAGAUGGCGUUCAGACUUCAGUAACUUAAUUAUUUUCAGAGUUCCGAACAACGAUACAUACAAGCAAGCAAACCACCGAAUUACACGAUCGUGCAAUCCUUGUGAUACACAAGUUCAUCACCUUAUUCGUAGCAAGUGGCAAGCAAACGAAAGCACAACACAACACUCAACACACACGAGUGGACACGACCCGCUCAAUGCAAAAGCUCGAUCUCCUCCGGAACAAUCAUGCCUUCGGUGGAACCAUGCUGGCGCCGAGCUUCUGCACGGACGGCCUCGCCAUGAUCCUCUCCCACCACGCCUUGACGUGCGGGUACGAGUCAAACAGGGCGGCGUGCGGCGUCCCCAUGAAGUAGAAGGUGUAGGGGAAAUGGUUGAGGUCCGCGAAGCUGAUGAAGUCCCCCGCCAGGUACUUGUGCUUGGAGAGGUGCGCCUCGUAGACCUCGAGCACCUUCUUCAGCUUCUCCAGGCUCUCGUCCACGACCUUCUGGUUGGUCGGGAUGCCGCGCAUCAUCGGGUUGAUGAGGCACUCGUACACGAUGGGCGACAGGGCUGGGUUGUAGGUGUGUGCGUCGACUUCGGUCCAGACGUCCACCAUCGCCGCUUCUUUCAGGUUGCCCUCGCGAAGCAGGUCGACUUUGUCCGUCUUGUAUUUGCGGAGCACGUACUUCGAAAUUGCGCGUGACUCUGUAAACACAACAAUGGACAGAGAUCUGAGAGGAUAUUCGAGACACCGAGCAAAUGAGGAGUAUGAUCCAAUUGUUCGUUAUAAUGUGAGAUCCAUCUGCUCUAGCCUCCCAACCAAACUGCCCAUCAGGGGAGCACAUUGAUUACUUUGUGGAAAAAAGUAAUCGAGGGGAAGAAACAGAGCUAGCCUCUCAGUGGAGUUUUUUCUUUUUUUUGAAGAAAGUGGAGUAAAUUUUGAGAACCAGAAAGCAUAUGCAAAUUAAUCAUACCGAAGAGAAGCAGAUCCCCAUCCUGGAAUGCAGGGAUUUGGCCGAACGGCUGCAAAGGAAAGUAUCAAAGAAAGAUGGGCACCAAGAUCAGUUGCUAGAAUAAAUAGAAUAGCCCAGGAACUCAUCAAGGAAACUGAAUCAGAGAAUUUGAGUAGUAGUCAAUCGGGGCAUCACGUACGUUUCUGACGAGAUGCUCGGGGCUCUUGUGCUCCUGUGCCUGGAAGUCGAUGUUGACGACCUCGUACUCAGCGCCUACCUCCUCCAGGCACACCAGAACGCGAGCCACGUUGGUGGACAUCGCCGGCCCGAACACCUUCACCGGCGCCAUUUUUCUGCAGGCGAGAGAGACAGACAGACCAGGGAGUGUGUGUAUGAAUAGCUAGCUGCGUACGAGCGGUGUGGAGCUUAAUGGCACCAAACGCCGUCCCAUUUUAUACGGCAUCGGGUGAUGGGAGACGGGGAGGUGUGGACGUGACGACUGACGUGUGGUGGUCUCUGGAACAACCAAGAUGGACCCGUAUGGGGCGAGGUUGUGCUGUCAUUGAGUGCGUGUCGUAUGCGUGGCGUCACCCGUGAGGUAAGUGUUUUGCUUACAUCCGGAUCUGAGAAUUCAGCCUUUCCCUUUGAUCUGAAUACACUUUUGAGGCUCAAAAAGGAAAGGAAGGAAAAAAAAAAGACUUUGCCUUGUCGGUGUUACAGGCAAAGGGUUUUACUUGAUUUUUAAAGUAAAAUGACUAAAUCUCAUCUGAACGGUUGGAUUAUUAUUUGAACUUCAUCCUACUAUCUUUUUUUUCGUUCUUACGAAUCUUAAAGCACAAACCAUAUCUAAUGGCUAAAAAUUAACUUAUCUUUAAUUAAAAAUCAGGCAACUUAGAUAUAGCAAAACCGUUUAACUAAAUUUCAAUCAAUUGAAUUUGAGCGUAUUAGAUCUAAAAUGAAAAGUGGAGUUUAGCCAAAAUAAGUUAUUGUAAAAUCUAGUAUACCUGGUGGCGUAGAAUUCUCGGAUCCAUGUUGUCUCGGACGCGUUUUGUUGUGUAGAUACAUACAUACGUAUCUAGACAAGUUAUUUGGAUCGAAGGGAAUAUUAGAUUUCUCAUUAUAUUAGCUACUUUACAUAUAUUGAGCCGGUGUCUUUCUAUGUGUCUUAAGGGCAACUCUAGCAGGGCGACCCAAAUUCAGUCUGUUUGGGUCGCGGACCGAACAGAUCUGUGCAGUUGUUCGGCACCCGUCCGUGACCGGACAGAUCUGUACCAAUUGUGUGGCACCCGUCCGUUUGGAUCUGCCAGUGCCCCCCAACGCAGCCACCCAUUUGGUCCCGGUUUAUUAGUCAUAGGCAUGCGGGCUAGGGGAGGAAAAAUGAGCAAAGGGAGGACAAACGCAAGACAAAGAUGCUGCCGACCCAACCCAAACCUGGAGCAAAUUUGGGUUGGAAAUGGGUCGUGACGGACCGAAAAGCGGACGGUGGCCGAAAUGGGUCGCCCCACUGGAGGGCGCGUUUUGCCCGUUUUGGUCCGAACGGAUUGGUCCACCGCAAAUGGGUCGCGUGGCUUGAGUUGCCCUAAGGACCUCGUUUCAGCUCCUGUGUAAAGCAGAAUUGUCAUUUCUUUCUCGUUUAUCAAGUGUGCUUUAUUUACAUACAUGAGGGAUGAUAUAUACUGUAGUAUGUUCAUCUCCUUACGAUAUUGUCGUUGGAAGAUCUCAUAUGCUUUUUGUGAUGGGAUAUGGAAUGCAUUGGAUCUGUGCGCAAUUUUCUUCACCGGUUAACAAAAUAUGUCAAAGGAAAAUCGUGUUUCCAUACUGUUUUUAGGACAUGGAAAUUAAUAUAUAGGAGUUAGUGGAUACUUCUUGUUCACCAACAUUUUCCUUUCUUUGGGAUUCUAAGGUAAAGUAAAGAUUUUCAAAGUGCUCAACAGUCAUAAAUGUGGUUUUGGUGCUUAUAGAAAAGGCCUUACAUUUAUGUUAUAGUGGCCUCCUCGGAUUUGUUUCAUUGGACACAAUUUUGAAGUAGAAAUAUAAGCAUUGUGCUAUAUUCGCAAUGCAUUAUGCGAUUGCAUACUUAGUUUGCUUGAAUUUAUGCAGUUGAGUAAAAAAGGACUUCAGACUGCUUAGAUUAUUGUUAUUUCUUUUCAUCCCCAGAUAUUCUUUUGCUGAAUUUCUGUUCCAAAACAUAUUUUUUCUUAAGCAUCACACUUAUAGCAGAUAAAUUUACAUUGCAAAUGAAUAUAUGCCUUGAAUUGCUAACAAUGUUGGCAUUAUGGCAAUAAGAUGGACCGGAAACACCUUUUGAGAUGCUUUUAGUUUAUGAGCACCCAAGCAGGUGCAAAAGGUUCUUCUUGCCAUGCAUGUGAGAAAGUCCCUUGAUUUCAAAGCAACACAUUGGCGUACUUUUAUUCAGUUUUUUUUUUUGGCAGCCGGAGAGAAUUUAGAAGCUUGGCAUGCCAUUCCGUUGCAUUUGGUGAGACCGAAGAGGAUUUCUUCCCAUAGUUCCCUGGGCCGGUGCAUUCAUAAGAGAACAGUUGAGAGAGGUUGGAAGAGAGAUGCAUGAUUAACCAAAUGAAUAUAUUGGGACACAUGUCUUAAUCACGUGUGUGGAGAAUAUAGUGGUGAUUAAUUUUAUACCAGUAAUAUGUGAAGAUAUUGAGGUUCUAAAUUAUGUUUGGCAAAUGUGGCAAAUGUUACUCCUUCCGUUUCAUAAUUCUUGUCGAAAUAUUACGUGUAUCUAGACGUUUUUUAGAAAUAGAUACAUUCAUGUUUGAGCAAAUUUGAGACAAGAAUUAUAAAACGAGGGGAGUACCAUCUGUCUAUUGAAGAUGACGUCAUUGUCCAAGAAGAGCACUGCUAUAUGUACGACAAAUUCACGUACGAUUCUCGUCCGACGCAAGGCAUGAACCAUCCAUCAAAUGAUCUUGUGGUUGAUAUCACAUCGUACGACCGUCGGACACACUGGUUCGUCCGGAGCACUUCCGGUGCGAGAACACCGUGGGAGUUGAAUGGUUGAUACAAUGAUGACUGUUUAGUAUUAUUAUACUGUGAUAGGUCAUUUCAACCGAAUAAAAUUGUCAUGCCGCCAGUACAUUAAUCAUGUAUUGUUUGGGGUAGAAAAAUAGGAUUUCUAUUUUUAGAAUUCCUCCUAAUGAUUUUCCUAGCUUAGGAAAUACGUGGGUGCAAUUCCACUGGGAUUAUCUCAUUUUUUAUAAAUAUAGUUAUCAAAACCCCUGAAAUGAUACUAUUGGGUGAAUAAAAAUGCCUUUACUGUUUCGAUUUUAUUUGAGUGGUAUACCUAGGAAUAGUUUCUCUUUGAGAAAUUAGUUCAGAAUUUAUUGGAGUAUAUGCCUAAUUAUACUCAGAAUUAGUUCUAUGGAUCAUACGCUGCAAGAUAUGUUUUACUUAUCAAAAUGAAUGUGAAUUUAAGAUCAAGAUUAUAAGUUCUAGUUUACUUGUGGUGGUUUAUAGAGAAAAUAUCAUAUCUAUACAAUUAAGAGAUUAUAAGUUGUUACAUUGCAUAAUUUACUUGUGGUGGUUUAUGGAGAAAAUAUUAUAUCCAUAUUGUUCGAUCAGCUUCUUUUCUUCUUAGAGCUACCGUACUUCAUAUUUUCCAUCUAAUUUGUUAGUAAAUAUGACUUACUCAUCUGCCCUUUUGCAAUCCGCCGUUUUCUAAUUUAGAAUUGCAGUAUUGGUGUCUACAAAUGGAGGUAAACAUAUCAUUUUGAAUCUUUUUACAUGUAUACGUACAUUUAAUCUCCGGUUGUUUACCUCCAUUUGUAGACACCAAUACUGCAAUUCUAAAUUCCUCCAUAUUAUAUGCAAUUUAGAAAUAACUGGAGUAAUUACUUUUCUGCUAACCAAAUUCCUGUUAGAAUUCUUGGGUGCCGUACGUAAUAACAGUCACCAGCACGUGAGGCCAAACCCAACGCGUCAGCGACUGUUACCGCACCGGUCGUGCAUCACCGAAGCAGCGUUCCGAACUUCUGACCUUUUCUUUCUUUGGUUUAUGAUCAAACCAGUUCUUUCUGCUUUCAUACCUCCUGACUUUUUCUUUCUUUUUAAGAUCAAACCAUUCUUCCUUCUUCCGUAACUAACAAUAACGAUGGCACGUUAUUGAAAUACGACAUUGACUUUUUUUUCUAGAAUACACCGAACCGGAUGUAUCACCAUUAAAGAAAAAGACUUCGGAGCAGUUUAGUACAACCCGAAACGAAUCGGGCAAAUCUCACGUGAAUUACCCCACACCGGUCCACUCUACCAUUACACUCUCACUACAAGGGAAGAAGCUAAAUGACUCCAUCAACAAACCCGCAAUCUUCAAUGCAUUUCCUUCAAUAUGGAUUGGCCGCAUGAUCUUGUCAACUGAAGGUGUCUCAUCAUCGAGCACCACGGCGUUCCUAUACUUUCAAAUCGGAGUAAAAUGCACACGCAGUCCCUUAACUUGAGGAGAAUGUGCAAGUACGUCCUUGAACUCACGUUUUGAGCGAAAUGAGGAACUAAAAUAUAUUAAGUGUUUUAUACAUCUAUACGCGCGCGAAGGGGUAACUUGUAAUCCGGACCGUCAAUUAACCAACGGCUGAGAUCUGACUGUGUUUUAUCUCUCUGGCAGCCGGGGCCCGCAUGUCAGGGUCUUCUCCCACCUCUAAGCACAUCUGCUCUGCCUCCCUCUUCUCCCCUUCUCCCCAAGCGGCCAAGCCUCCCCCUUCUCUGUUCUGCUCCGGCAGGAAGUGCCCCGCGCCCGCAAGCUCACUCCCAAGCACCUCCGCCCCGUGGAGCGCCCGCGACGCGCGCCUCCGCUACGGCCGCUCGCCUCCUGGUGCUCCCUGUUGGCGAAGCGCUGUCGGUCGUGGGGUGUCCCCGCGGCGAGCGCGUAGGCGCGGCCUUGCUGGUCGUAGAUCGCGGGCGUCUCCAUGAGGUGGAUGAGCUGGGCCAGCUCGGCGCGGAGCGAGCCGAGCAUCUUCUCGAAGCCGUGCAGCAUGAGGUCGUCCUCCACCGCGUUCUGCGCCUCCACGAGCCUGUAGCGCCCCGACUAGGUCGCCCUUGUCCGCCAUGGCCAUCGCCUCCCUGAUGGCGUCGGCAUACCGGCGCCGGGCGAGUUCGUCCUCCACCCAGCCCGAAUCUCCUCGGGUCGCUGCUUUAGGAGCGAGGAGUUGCAGGCAGAUCUCAAACAACCCCAAUCGGCCCGACGGCGAGGAUGGUGGCAGGCGGCGGCGGCGCGGGAAGGGACCGGCGCGGGCGCGAGGAUGGCGGCGGGCGGCGGCGGCGAGCGGCCAGGGGCGCGGGCUGGUCGAUGCGAAGGCCUGCCAUGGCUGCUGUGAGCCUUGUGUGGUUUGAGGAGGAGGACGACCCUGACAGGUGGGCCCCGCCUGUCAGAGGGAGAGAGGGAAGAGAGAACACAGGCAGAUCUCAGCCGCUGGUUAAUUGACAGUCCGGAUUAGAAAGUUACCCUCUCCGCCACUGUCAACAGAUGAGGAUUCCUGAGUCCUGACCGCCAUAACUUGGGGAGCAAGGUCUCUUUGCCUGCGGCCAUGCAACCAUGGAUCCGUCCAGAAGUUAGCACUCUCACCAUUACCCAAGACCACCUUUGUUGCUGCCUCAAAGAGCUCCCUGGAUUCUUUCGAGACCUGAAGCCCCAAGUCAUGCCAUGGCCUAUCCGAAUCAGUCCACUGAAGCCAACACAAACGAGCUCUUAGGGCCGUGUUGAGCAGUCUUAAAUUUGGGAUCCCCAAGCCACCAAGUCUUUUCGGCAAGCAAACCGAAUUCCACGCCACUAAGACAAUGUCCAACCUUCACAUCUUUCUUGCCCUUCCAGAGAAAACCACGGCAGAUUUUCUCAAUGGCAUCCACCGUCUUAACCGGCAAGUCGAGUGAUAUCAUGCCGUAGACCGGGAGGGCACACAAGGUCGAUUUGAUCAAUGUAAGUCGCCCGCCCGAAGAGAGAAGCGGCGCUCGCCAGCCCUGAAGCUUAUUCUCCACUUUAUCCACCACUGACUGUAGUUGCGCCGCUGAUGCUUUACGAAGGCCCAGAGGGAGGCCCAGGUAAACACAGGCAGAGCCCAUCACCGCACACUGGAGUUCAUCCGCCACCACACAGCAUGGAAGUCGUCUCUUUUCCUUGCUCGGGCAGGCUCAUGGAAGUCGUGUCUAAUGGACUGCUUGGGACUAGCUAGGUUUGGAUGUCUGAGAGCUCUUAAUACAGAUCAAAGAUCUGAUAAUACAAAACUGCUCUUUGAAAUAGCAAUGCUAGGGCCUAAUUAAUUUGCAAAGCUCUGACUAGGUUAACAAACCCAUUAAAACCUGAUCGAUCGGCACGGCAUAGCCUAAAGCAGCCAGUAACACGUACAGCACAAACUACACAAUCAUCAUGGAGUUCUUUGGUCAACCCCUCGGUUAAUCUAGCUUCUAUUUGUCUUUGGCUUGUAUGAAAAAAAAAUCUACAUUUUCGACUUAUAGAAAUCACAUGCCACAUUGGGAACUCCCGAGCUUAAAUUGUUCAGAAAACUAAGUUAUGAGAGCAAAAAAUCACUGAAAUAGCUAGUAGCCGGUAUCAUGUUUUGUGUUCAUGACUUCACAUGCACAUUUAAAAGUUUGUACAAAAGCUAGUUUGUACCUCCAAUGUAGAAGCUCAUGUAGGGCAUGACUUUUUCGAAGAGCAUCUUUCUGUGUAUCUUGCUGCUUCGGCCUGAAUUGAGCUCAAUUUUGAACAACCCAGCCUUUGUACUCAGGAAGAUGGCACCAACACCUUCUGCAAAACCAACCACACCGAGGCUUUCAGCAGGGCACGAGAGGGGAGCAACGGUUCGAGCUCAAUCAGCCUGCAGGGCACCCAGUUCUCCACCGCUCCAUUGGGACCAGGCUCCAUUGACAACAGGUGGAGCUUAUUAGAGUACGUUCCACAGGCCCGCGAACCGCAGCAUGCCGUCCUCCGCCCCCACAAGGACGUAUGCCGAGUCGAACGGCUUAAUGAUCACCGAUAGCUUAUGUUCAUCCAUGUUGUACUCCACGAUUCUGGUGAUGCACUUACAGGGGAAGUACACCAUACUUCCAAGAACAGCACUGUGCCCCGCCUCCAUAAUGGCAUUCGGUUGGUUCAGAAAGAUCACCUUGCUCCACUCACCAGUCUCUGAUGAGUAGACUGAGGCGAAUGUCCCCCGUUGCUCGUCAGAUCCCACGAAGGCCACGAGGAAAGGGCCCCCACGGCAGUCGAGGUGGUCGUAGCGGUCCUUGGCGCAGAGCAGCGCUGCAUUCCAGCUGGUUUUCUCGUCGUCCGAAUCGUCGCCGUCCUGCGGUUUCCACGUCACGUCCGAGUACCGAGGGUCGGCGUGAAUCAUCCAGCAGUCGUCGGUGAUGGGGUCGCAGACGACCAAGUCCUCCUCGGAUUUCGGGGUGUAGAAGAGGACGCGGCCGUGGCGGGAGUCGAGGACGUACCAGUGGCGGCGGUCGCGGCAUGCCGGCGGGCGGAAGGGCGCGGCGGUGGGGAGUGGGGACGAAGCGGGAGACGCCGGAGCGCGUCCCGUAGGGUCUGUUGUGGAGGAAGCCCAGCAUGGGCGGCGUCGGCCCGUGCAAGACGCGGUAGUCGCGGACGAAGGAGGCGUCGGAGAGGAGGAUGGCGCGCCAGCCCUUGCAGACGGCGGCGGCGCGGACGAGGCUCGCGGGCUCGUCCGGAGGGACGCGCAGGAAGAUCUCGCGCAUGGCGUCGUCCACAAGCGCCGGCGGUGGGCGGCGGCCUCGCUGCGUUGGGGGCGGCAGGCUCAUGGCUAGGGCGUAGGGGAACUGUGCCGGCGAUUGUGGGUCGCGCGAUUUUAUUUUUGUCCAGCAGGAAUUUGGGGCGCGUAUCAGCGCUUCCAUCAGUGGAAGUCGAAUGGAUUCGUUCAGAUCGAGAUUUUUCUCUUUUAUUGUUGAUUGACAGCGAGAUACGAGGAGUUUCAAUGUUUGGACAAAUUUGAGUUAAUAAUUUAGAAUCAAAAGGAACGAGUAGUACUUUACUCCACAUUUUAUUUUCAGUUAUCUCUCCUUCACGUAGGAUCUUUGAGUUCUGUCCGAUCGAGGGAGGCGCUUCAUUGUUAGCUCUUCAGGCUACGUAUCACCCCGUUCAGUCUUGGUUUGAUCCUCCCAAUUUCUUACUACCUGUAAUGGCUAAGGAUGUAAGCGUUUUCAAAGAGUAAUAAAGCAACUGACUUUUGUUCAAAGGAUGUAGAGUAUAUGAUUUUCGUGAAUCGUUCCAACUUCCAAAUCCUAUUUAUAUCCAUCUCUGGCUCUCUGCCCUGCGCCCUUGCCCAGCUGACUGCCGUCUCCCUCUGCCGUUCUAAUCAGAUCAAACCCAACGAAGUUUGCCGGUUCUAAUCAGCAUAUCAGAUCGAAAUCAAAUUCUCCCAAGAAAAAGUGGCAAAGUAAUCACAGGAUUACCGGUUAACAUGUGAUUUCUUAACCUAACUAUUGAGGAUUACCGCCUUGAGAAAAGAAGUAUUUAUUUGGUUCCGAAGAAAGCCAUCCAUGCUAAUAGCUUUACUGAUUUUGCCUACUGCUUAUGUAGAAUUAAAAUAGCUGCUGGGCCUUUUCACCGAUUUCGCCUCGAGGAGUUAAAAACUCCAGGACCGGCGCUGCAUAUAGGGUGUAUUUAUCUGAUGGUUCAAAUAUCCUCCUACAGUGUAAAGUCAAUCUGUAAAAUUUGUUAUGAAUUAAGGUUGCCAACAUAUUCAAUUAUUGAAGCUCAAAAAAAACAUAUUCAAUAUUGAAGCUCAAAAAAAAAAAUUCAAUUAUUGAUCAUGAGAAGAAAACAAUAUUUAUCAUUAGAAAAAUAUGGGAGCCUAAAUUAAGGUAAGGUAAUCUACCCCAAAUAAUAAAGGGAGGAACGCUUCCUUCGUCGUCGUCCGUCCGUGAAUUUUGCAAUUUGCCCCUUCAAGUUUUUGUUAAUUCAACCCGCCGUCCAAAUAAAGGACGGAACUGGGUUUGUUUUACAAGGUUUCGGCUAAACUGCAAUUUUGCGUCUCCUUCCACGGAUCUCUCCCCGACUCAUCCCUGAGUCCCCGACCCGCAUCUCGCCCUGCCUCCUGUUGGGUUGGGACCCAAGGCGUUGUCCCGCCGUGCCACGGAUCUGGGUUUUUUUGCAAGUUUGCCGCCCUCCCCGCGCUCUCUGUCCAUCUGCCGGCCCAAUAGCUGCGGCGGCGCUCUAGUUGCCACGAUGCUACUCCACCUUCUACGGCCGGGCGCUCGCCUCCGCCCCGACGCCUCGAGCCGCCCGUCCCCUCAUCCACACCGACCUCCUGCGCUUCACCGCCGCCGUUCACCCACCGGCCACCCGAAUCUAGAGCGCCACCCAUGGCCUCCUCAACCCCCGUCUCGCCUGCCGCUGCCGCCUUCUUCGGCAACCGCCGCUGCCUCCUCCUUCCCUGUUCCCUGCGUCGCCUCCCUCACAGCUGCUUGUGCCCGCGCUCAAGCUCCCGCAUCCGCUUCGCCGCCUGCCAUGCCAAUACCCUCCUCUCAUCACCCGGGGCCAGGUGCCGUCCGCUGCCGCGGCGUGCUCGUCCACCUCCUCCGCUAGCGGGUUCUCUGUAUGGCUGCUCACGCACGGGCUGCCGCUGGGCAAGGGGGCCAUCCUGAAGCGCCCAGUGCCUAGCACCGGUGGGGGCAAGGACCGGCCUCUGCACCCUUUGGACAAGGUGGCCAUCCUGCAACGCCCCGUGCCUAGCUCCGGUGGGGGAGUAAGGACCGGCCUUUGCACCCUUUGAAGAAAUCAACGAUAAGUCGGUAAUACAGUCACUGACUCAGAAUUCUCACGUUCAGGAAUAUGAAAAUUAUGGAUUCCAUGACAAAAGCAAUUGUUCCGUUAAAUUCGAUUGAAUGUCAAAUUAUCUUAUUGUCAUUUCAAUGAACGUGAAUUUUUGUGUGCAUAUGUUUAAGAGGCCGUGGCAACGCAUGGGCACUGUACUAGUUUCAUACCUAUAUGUCUUAAUUUUCGAUGCAGAGGCCGGGGUUAUUCCCUCCAUUUAAAAAAAAAAGUCAAAAAUGUCUUAAUUUUCAUUUUUCAUGGUACGAUAAUCAUAAUUUCAUUACUAUUUACCCCUUGUAGCUGUUUGAAACCCACGGGAGAAGAAAUAAAAAACCAUGCAAGAUUUUGAUGAUGAAUGUAGAGGGUAAUAAAGUGCAGGCAAGCAUAUAAAAUAUUCCAUAUAUGAGUGCAGGUUUAAAGAGACAGGUAGCUAGCUUUCGCUUCAGGUAUAUUUUCAUUUGCUGGUGAUAUUUCAGAUUUGAUUAUUUUGUUUCAAAUUUUGCUAGCUGAGAUUGUAUACUGCAAUAACAGACCUUGCGCUCUGUAUGCAGUUCCUGAUUCUUUCAAGGAUUUUUUUUUGACAAACAACCGACCGGAGUAUAUAUUUUUACGCUGGAAAAAUCAACAAUACAGGCAGAGAUAAAUAUCUACUUGUUACUUUUCUGCGAACCAAAUUCCCUUUAGAAUUCUUGGGUGCCGUAAGGCGGUUGACGAGGGAAUGAUCCUUCGAGUCCUCGACCUUCAUAUACCCGAUACAGCACAACAGGGGGUCCACUCGAAGGCCCAUCAAGUAUAUGCAGGUAGAGUCCCUCAAAGUGCGGCUCAAGCCAAGGAACAUAAUCUUAUUAUACCGGAAUGAACUGAUCUGAUUGUAACAUUUCCGAUUAUCACACCCGAGACCUAGCCGCCAAUAUAUAAGGCUAAGAGGGGGAUCAGGAAUGGCGAUCCUAUAUACACACGCCAGAUUCAUCUGUGCUCCAUAGCUUCAUAACUUCCAUGUAAUCUCAAUCAAUACAAUACACCAAAAGCAGGACGUAGGGGUAUUACCUUCCGAGGACCCUGAACCUGGGUAAACCUUGCGACUCCCCUAGUCUUUGUUAGUCGACGAAAUUGUUGGUGCAUCCCGUGCUCUUCCUCAGUCAAAAACCCUCAAGUUAGGGUAUUGCCGAGGUAGCCCCUCGUCAUUGGCUCCGACCGAGAGGAAAAAGUGCAUCAGAUCUACGAUCUUCUCAACCAUGCCGCUCUCAAUCCGCAAGAGGAGCCGAUCCGCUUCGGAUCCUUGAGUUUCUCAGCUCACCCGCCAACAUUGUGCUCGGCCUUCCGCAACUUUUGCGGUCUUCUGGAGCUGUCAUUCAGAGGUUUUGACCUCCGAGUCAGCCGCGAAGGAAUCAUCAGCUUCACAGAUCUGUCACCGACAGGACAGAUCUGCGAGUCUCUGGUGGCGUCACCAACUGAUCCUUCACCCCCGAUGUGCUCGUUGGGUGAAACAGGGCAAAUUUUGGCCAAAUUUUUUUGCACCGAGUGCGAUUCGCACCACUCGGUGUUCGCUGAAGAUUCCACUCCUUACAACGUCAAUACCUGUUCGAGUGUAGCAAUCAAUCCCGCUGAUGUAACUAUGAUCCCUUGCAUGACCUUGGCACAGGUCUUCGCAGUGGAAGUAGGCGAGAGCAGUGGAGAUGGACAACGAGCCGGCAGAACCAUCUUCGCUGAGGCACGCGCAAGAGACGUGACCAAUGAUCGUCCAACGAUCAUUCUCACGCCGGAAGAAGAAGCUCGGGUCGAGGCCGCUCUUAACGGCACCAACCCUUUGCCAGCAGACGCCACGUGCAAUGAGAUGAUGGCAUACCACCAUGCGCUAGACACUACGCAUGCUCGACUGCGAGAGGAGCAGGCGGAGCUCCAACGGCGGAGGGAGGUCGCCGACGCUUCGAGUGCUCGCAGACAGCUCUCAGCACAGAGUCGCAGUGCGUGCUCUCGGAGCACCCCCAGAUACAGAGCGCCGCGCUAUCAGUCUCGGCUGAACAAUAUCCCCGAGCGAGACCGCAUCGGCAUGACACGCAGUUUGGAUGACGAACUGAUGACGGUCAACACCCAGGGAGAGUUGCUUCCCCGGACGCCACAAGGAGCUGUGGUCGCUGCAAACACGUACCUCCUAUCCACCAUGCCAUCGGAUGAUGACCCGAAGGCAGCAAUCCACAAGCAGGUCUUGGCCGGCUUGGGCCUCAUCGGGAAUGCCCUCAUGGGCCCCAACUCGAACCAGAUGGAGCCCCGACGUCAUAGGGACGACGGCUCCCCACGACAAAACAAUCACACGACUCCUCCACAACGGGGACUGGAAGAACAGCCUCAUCGCCGCCGCAACACCCCCGUACUAGGAGAUGCUCGUGAUAUCAUUACGCAACAGAGAAUCGAUCGCGAGCGGUCAGCCCGUGCUGGCCACAUCAUAGAGGACGAAGAUGAACCUUGCGGCGCGGCCUGCUUUAGUCGUCGCGUUCGCAACUCGAAGAUGCCCGAUAAUUUUUCAGUAUCUUCGAGCGCAAUCAAGUUUGACGGUUCCCAGGAGCCGACAGCUUGGUUAGAAGAUUACCUCACAAUGGUGCGACUGAAGGGAGGAACGAAGAACACAGCCAUGAAGUGUUUACAGUUGCAGCUCAAGGGGCACGCUCGCACAUGGCUGGCUAGUCUGCCAGAAGGUGAAAUAGGCUCAUGGGACGAGUUAUACCAAGUUUUUACCUGUACAUUUCGGGCAACAUAUAAAAGGCCAGUCUCAUUGGAACAACUUCGAGCAUGCACUCAGAGGUUGAGUGAGUCCAUUCGAUCGUAUAUACAACGAUGGACGUCCCUCAAAAAUGCAGCAGAAGAGAUAUCAGACGAGAGCGCAGUCGACGCCUUUAAGCGUGGGCUGAAGCGUGUCACUUUUAAGGAAGAACUGGGACGGAGCAAGCCAUAAACGGUUGCAGAUCUGAUGGAGAUAACUUCGAGCAUGCACUCAGAGGUUGAGUGAGUCCAUUCGAUCGUAUAUACAACGAUGGACGUCCCUCAAAAAUGCAGCAGAAGAGAUAUCAGACGAGAGCGCAGUCGACGCCUUUAAGCGUGGGCUGAAGCGUGUCACUUUUAAGGAAGAACUGGGACGGAGCAAGCCAUAAACGGUUGCAGAUCUGAUGGAGAUAGCAAAUAAGUGGGCAGAUGGAGAAGAUUCAAUUCGGAAUGAGCACAAUGCACUACCAGAUGAUGAAGAAGCCGAGCGAGGACACAGUCGCAACACCAAGAGAAGAAAGAAGCGAAAGGAGCGGGAGCCCAACGCCCCCGAGUUUGUAGCAGCAGAGUUCGACCGUAAUGGUGGUGUUCGAGGUGAAGGAAAUCAUGAAGGACAUCAGGAUAGAAGUAACCGUGGUAACUACCGAGAUAGCAGCAAGAACCAGCAGUGGCAGCCCCGGAGAUUGCGGCGAGAUGGGCAACCUGCUUUGUCAUUGACACAACAGUUGUCGUCUCCCUGCCCUUUCCAUGGCACCAGGGAUGCUGAUGGAAAUAUAAGGUGCGGCCACACACUGUUCGAGUGCCGUUGUUUCUACGAGUUGCAGGACACAUGCAGCCAGUUUCAGAACUCAACGGCAAGCAGGGAUUAUCCUCGGGGGCUAGGUGAGCAAUCAACGAGGAGUAAUCCUAACACUCUGGCUCUGCCACACGCCACUCGAGCUGGCAUGAUCGCGCAUAACGCGCCACCACCCCCUCCACUGCCACCAAAUUACGCCGGAUCCGUGCAACACACGCAACCCGCGUCACGACCAUCAGAACCACCAGCCACAGCUGACGUGUAUCCAGCGCCUUUGGGAAAUAUCUGCAUGAUACAGAAAGGAAGGCCGUCCAACAGACAUCAAAAAGUUAUCACUCGACAAGUUCAUCUGGCUGUGGCAACACCACUCGCCACCCCAGAGUACCUCGACUGGUCCGAGGUCGCCAUUUCAUUCUCGCGGGCGGAUCACCCACCUCGAUUCCGAGGCCAGGACAGUCAGCACUAGUCCUCGACGCUCAGGUGGGAGGCUACGAGAUGUGCAAAGUGUUCAUAGAUGGAGGCAACGGCAUCAACAUCAUAUUUGCGGAUACACUAAGGGCAAUGAACACAUCAUUAACGAAUCUCCAAGCUACAGACACAUCUUUUCACGGAAUUGUUCCAGGAAAAACUGCACUACCAUUAGGCCGGGUUAGCCUCGACGUUGUCUUUGGCAACCCCGCCAACUUCCGCAAAUACCGGAUCGAUUUUGAUGUACUCGACUGGAAUCGCAAUACCAUGUGCUUCUGGGCCGGCCAGCACUCGCCAGAUUCAUGCCCAUCCCACAUUAUGCAUAUCUUAUGCUGAAAAUGCCUGGACCGUACGACAUAAUCACCGUCCGUGGAAGCUUUACAAGAUCGAACAAUUGUGACAGAGAUUUCCACAAACUUGUUGAAUCAUUCGGCAUGCAGAUGGAACUCGCCUCUUUGAAGGCAACGACGGACAGUGACGUACUUCCCAUGAUGAAGAAAGCGCCACCACAGAUAGAGUUCAGCACGAAGAGUGAUACAACAGAGCAUCAGGUACAUCCGACUGAUUCCAGCAAAACAGUGCUGGUGUCUUCGAGCCUUCCUCCCACAUAGGAAAGCGCGCUCGUCGAGUUCCUGCGCGAGAAUUGGAAUUUUUUUGCCUGGGUACCAUCCGACAUGCUGGGUAUUCCCAGGGAACUCGCCGAGCACCCUCUACAUGUGGACAAGCAUGCCAAGCCCAUUAGACAACCAAUGCGACGAUUUUCAGAGCCCAAGUGCAAGGCUAUUGGUGAAGAGGUCAAUCGCUUACUCGACACCCAGUUCAUCCGGGAAAUGAAACAAGCUACCUGGGUGACGAACCCCGUGCUUGUCCCGAAGAAGAACACGAAAGUUUUGCGCAUGUGCGUCGAUUUCACCUCACUGAACAAGCAUUGCCCGAAAGAUCAUUUUCCCCUGCCUCGAAUCGACUAGAUCGUCGACUCGACUGCGGGAUGUGCUCGAUUGUCAUUCCUUGAUGCAUAUUCUGGGUACAAUCAGAUUCGAUUGAAGAAGGAGGACGAAGACAAGACAGCAUUCAUAACACCUUAUGGAGUUUUCUGCUACACAACUAUGCCUUUUGGACUGAAAAACGCAGGCGCUACGUAUCAACGCUGCAUGCAAGCAUGUCUUGGGGCGCAGCUGGGCAGAAAUGUUCAAGUUUAUAUCGACGAUAUCGUUAUCAAGACAAAGAAUGAAGAUACUCUAUUAGAGGAUAUUCGAGAGACAUUCCAGAAUCUUGAGAAGUAUCGGAUCAAGCUUAACCCAACGAAAUGCGUUUUCGGAGUACCUGCAGGGCAGCUUCUGGGUUAUUUUCUUUCUGCAAGGGGAAUCGAAGCAAAUCCAGACAAGAUCAGAGCAAUAGUGACAAUGAAGGAACCAACAAACAUCCAUGCAGUACAGCAGCUUACAGGAAGAGUGGCAGCCCUCAGCCGGUUCAUUAGCAGAUUGGGAGAAAAGGCUCUGCCAAUUUACCAGCUACUCAAAAAGGGAGAAAAUUUACAUGGACACCCGAAGCCAGCAGUGCAUUCGCCGAUCUAAUGCGCAUGCUAUUGACUUCACCUGUCCUUGUAGCCCCACUUGAGAAUGAGCAGCUCCUGCUAUACCUCACCGCCACAAAUCAGGUGGUCAACACGGCCUUGGUAGUAGAAAGGGCAGAAGAAGGGAAAGCGCAGCCAGUCCAGAGGCCGAUAUACUAUGUUAGUGAAGUGUUAUCUCUCACGAAGCAACGUUAUCCACAUUAUCAGAAACUGGCAUACGGAGUAUUCAUGACGGCCCGGAAGCUGGAACACUAUUUUCAGCAGCACCCGAUCGUCGUGGUGAGUGAGGCUCCACUCGCCAACAUUCUCAAUAACCCAGAGGCAAUAGGUCGUGUCGCCCAAUGGGGAAUCGAGCUCUCGCCCAAGAAUAUCACAUACGAGCGCCGGAAAGCAAUCAAGUCGCAAGUACUGCCAGAUUUCAUCGCCGAGUGGACCGAGAUGCAGACUCCAAGCCCGCCCGACUUGUCGAGUGCCUGGACCAUGUCUUCGAUGGAUCCAAACGAGCAGAAGGCGCAGGGGCAGGAGUAAUACUGAUCUCGCCAAAAAGGGACAAGAUGCGCUAUGUCUUUCAGAUGCACUUCCGCAACGCCUCCAACAAUGAAGCUGAGUAUGAGGCCUUGUUGCAUGGCAUGCGGAUGGCAAAAGCAUGUGGCGCUACUCGUCUAAUGAUCUAUGGCGACUCUAAUUUGGUCGUGCAACAAACAAUGAAGACCCGCGACGCAGUUUCAGACACCAUGAUCACCUACCGUGAUAUGUACAACACAUUGGAGGGUAAUUUUGACGGAAGUGAGCUCGCGCAUGUCAGCCGAUCCAGUAACCAAGAGGCCGAUCCAGUAACAAAGAGGCCGAUCAUUUAGCCAACCUGGGAUCUACACGGGCAGCAGUUCCGCCUGGAGUUUUUCUGGAAAUCAUUCAUCAACGAUCCAUCAAAGAGAAGAGCACGAUUGCCUCAGUCAAAAAAUCGUCCAACUCAGAGCUUCUAACUGACUCAACACUUUCACCCGACAACCCCGUAGUCGAGCAAGCAGAAGACAGUGCAGUCGAAGUCAUGGCAAUAGAACCAACAUGGAUGAAGCCACUACUCGCAUACAUGCUCCGGCAGGAGUUGCCAGAGGAUACAACCGAAGCUAGAAGGAUUAUGUGGCGAUCGAAAGCUUUCACAGUGAUCAACGGCGAGUUGUACAAACGCAGUGUCUCUGGCAUUUUUCAGAGAUGUAUUGCACCAGAAGAAGGACAUGAUAUCCUCCUAGGUAUCCUUCAGGGCACGUGCGGGCACCAUGCCGGAAGCGAAACAAUCACCGCCAAAGCCUUCAGAGCUGGAUUCUACUGGCCCACGGCCUUACUCGACGCUCAAGCUAUCGUCAGCAAAUGCGAGGCAUGUCAGAUGUUCGCCACGAAGCCGCAUGCCCCAGCUUCUGAACUCAAGACAAUUCCCAUCGCCUGCCUUUUGCGCAAUGGGGACUCGACAUGGUAGGCCCGUUGAGGAAGUCGCGUCAUGGAGGACAUCGUUUUCUGCAAGUCGCCAUUGACAAAUUUUCAAAGUGGAUCUAGGACAUGCCAAUUGCAAGCGCCACAUCUACAACGGCUAUCCAAUUCUUCAGAUCCAUCAUUUUCCGUUUUAGCGUUCCUCACAGGAUCAUCACAGACAAUGGAAGCAACUUCAAGGCAGCCGACUUUCAAGACUUUUGCGGGCAGAUGGGGAUUCGAAUCAACUACGCUGCAGUCGCGCACCCGCAAACAAAUGGCCAGGUCGAAAAGGCCAAUGGUCUGCUCACUGAAGGCAUGCGGAAAAGGUUGAUGACACCCUUGCGGAGAGCAGCUGGUGCGUGGGUCGAAGAACUCCCCUUGGUACUCUAGAGCCUUUGCACUACACCAAAUUCUUCCACGCAGUUCACCCCUUUCUUUAUGGUGUACGGGGCAGAAGCAGUGCUACCAUCCGAGGCGAGGUAUAACGCACCUCGGGUCGCAGCAUACGCCGGACCAGACUGCACAGAAGGUAUGGAAGAUGCACUCGACGCAGCAGAUAAGGCACGCGACAUCGCCCUCGCUCGGUCAACGGUCUACCAACAGAGUCUCCUUCAGCUGAAACAGAAAAGUCAUCACAAAUUGGCAUCGCCAUGGGAGGGGCCUUACAUCAUAUCCAAAGUAAUCCCAGGCGGUGCCUACAUCCUGAAAGAUCCGGCAACCAACAUCGAUUUCGGCACGGCGUGGAACGCCACGCAGUUACGGCGUUUCUACGCUUAAAUUUCUCUACAAAUAGACUCAGUUUAUCUUUUCAUCGUUUUCAGUUUCUAUCCAGUCAUAUUAUGUUCAUCAGUAUAUCAUUGAAUAAAGACUAGUUUUCCCCUCGUACAUGAGCUGAAUUACUGCAUUAAACACCUCCGUCUCUCCAAAGACCUGAGGGAUGUAUCUAUAUAAUAUCUCUAGAGUGGGGCAACUCUAGCACCACAGUUAAAGCUCUGUGGAUGGCACUUACCCGAAAGUCAAUCAGGACUCGGGGGCUGCGCGAAGCACCCGCCAAUACAAGCAUUGUACAGAUACAUUGCAUAAACCACGAUUAGCCCUGUCCAAGCAAGGACUCAGAACCAUCAGAUCGCCGCUCUUGUCGCAGGCGACACUCAGGCGCAAGUCUGUCGCACUUUGUCACGACACAAGAUAUUCAACACCGUCAAGAAAGAUCAACUGAUAAAGGUACGUAUUCCAAAUAUUUAACUAACAAAGUUUUGGUUCCAGAACAUAACAAAGGGAGAUGAAGCACGCGCUACUCGACACCUAAUUGCAAGAAAAGACUCGGGGGCUGCUUCCCCCCACAAGUACUAAAACUCAACGACGCAGUAGAAGUCUAUAUCAUCUCGACAAGAUUGACCAGCUCUCGAGCAUGCCACUCGACGGCGUCAUAGUAAUACCCCAUGUUAAUCUCGCCGUCUUCAAAAAAUGGCACCACAUGCAAUCCCCCCAGAUCCAGGCCGGCAUAUCGAAGCCGAACAAAGGCCAGGCCAACAGUGGCGCCAGUUACAAGCUGCUCAUGUAUAUAACUCUUGAUGACAGCCGAAUCCGUGAACAAACGGACCAAACCCCAAAGGUUAUCAAGAACCGGCAUGUUCGGAAAAAGUGCCCGAUGAAUGUCAGUCAUAAUCUGGCGGCAUGAGCUCAAAGAAGCUUUGGCCCGGGCAGCCCGAUCCUAUAGAAGCGCCAACACAUACCCCCCAUCGGAGACGAACCAGAAGGAAGGAACCGUCGGCCUCGCCUGUUGAAGAGUGUUCAGGCGAUGACGAACGCGCUCGGCUUCCUCGUGAGACUCGAGGAUAAUUUCUGCAAGUACAAGACAGUCUGCUAAAGACAAGAAACAAUACAGAACGAGCAAUCAGAGCUUAUCGAAACAAGCUCCCCCAGAAGAAAUUUUUCUCGGGUGGCAGCAGCACGAGGUUUCGACUUCCACACGGCAACUUCCCCGCGGAGCGCUUCCCCGCGGAGCGCCAAGAACUGACGUUCAGCGUCCCUCACACGAUCGCGAAGGUACAUGGUCUCAUCAGAGCGACUCAUCUCGGGGAAAGCAACGAAGCAGUUGAUCUAGCCAGAUAUGUCAAUCGAUGAGUCCAAGCCCGACUAUAAAUAGUCGGCCAUGGACUCGGGGGCUACUCCCAUCGGGAGAGCUGAUCGCGCACCCGACUAAAUUUGCCUACGACAAAGGAUAUUCAAGUCCAUGCCUAACUCUGUGCAGUUAGCCAUGCACUCGGGGGCUACUCCCAUAGGGAGCGCUGUCCGCGCACCCGACGAAAUUUUCCUAUAUCAAAGUCUAUUCGAGUCCAUGCCUAACUCCGUGCAGUUAGCCACGAACUCGGGGGCUACUCCCAUCGGGAGCGCUGUCCGCGCACCCAAGGGUAACCCAAGUAGUAAAUAUGGAUAAGACGUACAACACAUGGACAUCGAUUCAUCAUAUACCAUCAAUAUAACAGAUCCAUUACAGUGGCCAUAUACAAUUUUGUUUUUUGAGUCCGUCCCCAACUACAAGGCUUGGUAUACGUGCUCCAGCGUCGAUCGACAGGAGUCGGCAAAACCCCCAAUCUGGUCAACACGAUUUUGCAUCAACGCCAAAGCUCGGCUCCUAUCCCUGUCAUACCAGAAGGACAAUCUGUUCGAGGUAUUCAGCCUGCUCAGUCCGGAGUUCACGCUCUCAAACUCUAAUUGGGGGUCAAGUUGAAGACCUGAGGCAUCCGAAUCAGUAACAGCCACAAUGCAAAGUUAAUAAUCAAACCAGACGAAGGAAGAAAUUUCUGUUACCUGCUAGUUUCUUGCACAUCAUCGACAGCUCCUUCAUCAGGAACUGUUCGCGGUCAGCGGCGGCUUUGGCUUUCGUCCGUUGCACAACCACCUCCCCCGUGACCACCCAAAGUUUUUGCUCAAGACCCUUCAGCUGGUCCCUCAAGAUCGUCGGGUCCAGAAGGGAUGCGGGGGAAGACGCCGGAGUCGCCGCGAGAGCAAGUACCGGUUGCGGUCGCGCGGGAACGACCUCAGCAAGCGGUGUUUCGCGAUUUUUGUCAUCAUCGCUCUACAGCGCCAGACAAGACAAAGAAGCAAAUUUAUCUUCAAAGAUAAUCAAGUGACACACAUAUCACAUCAAGAGAAUCAAACUCAGUAUAUUAAGGCACCAUGGUACUGGUUUCAUCCCAAAAGACGUCAUGAUGGAGUCAAUACUACGAACUAUUACAGCAAGGCAAAGGCAAAUACAAGUAUCACGACGAAGGAUGAGCCCCAACCUCAUCCGUAGCUUCCUGCGCGGUCCGGACAGUCGCCGCAUUCAGCUCCUCAAUGACGGCGGUAAAUUUCUUCGGCAGCUUCCGUCCCCGCUUGGCGUAGCGCUUCAAGUAGACAACCUGCCCAUCCGGAGUCGUCGGGGCACCAUCAGCAACCUUCUACAGCACUACUUGGUCGAGUCCAUGCGCGAGCGAGAGAAUGAACGCAGCUUCAGCACCGGCCUGCGUCUGCCGCUCGAGUAAAAUCUUCGAGUGGGUCUUCUCUGUCGAAGAAACUCAACAAGCCGUCGGGUGAACCCGGCGCCUCAGCAUCUGGAUACAUACUCGCGAAUAGAGACCUCAGGGAAGAAGUCACCUUCAUGAGCAUGUCACCCGUAUGAUCGCAAAGUUCUCCGACGGAGCCCACCACACCGCUCAGCUCAGUCGCUUGGUGUUUGCCCCGAAGGGUGGCCAAGGAGCCAAGGGAGUCUGCGCAAAAAUCACGUCAGUUGAAGCAAUCGCAAGGGAAAGAAAACUUCUUAAGAUAGGGUCAAACUCACCGGUGAGUGCGUCGACGGCAACCGAAAGCUGCGACUUCAAUUUGUCAUCUCGAGAGGCAAUUUCUUUCCUCUCGAGUGCAAGACUCUCCUGUGCCUCCAAUUUGGGACUGCUUGACAGCUGCGUCCACCUCGGCACGAGCAGCCGCCAAUUCCUUGGCAGAAUCAGCAACUAGUUGCCCAUACUUCGACCGCCACUCCUGACCAUUGCCAACUGCCGCAUCGCGUAGUCAGUUGGCUUGUUCGGUCAAACCUACAAGUGCAGAAAUGGUUAACAGGCAACAGUCCAUGCAACAGUAUGGUGAAGGAUUAAAUCUAGCUAAGGAACACAGAUUCAUACCAUUGGCGUGCACAGCGGCUUCUUUCGCUUGGUCCAGCUCCAGGGGUAGUUGCCGGUUCUCCUCCUCUAAAAUCAGAUAGCGGUCGCCAAGAUCCACCAGCUUUUCGACGAAAGGCUGCAAUGGACAGAAGCAUGAGUGAAAACCCUUAGCAGAAAACUUUCACUCAACACUCCCAUCGGGAGAAUACUUACAUGAUUUUAAGGCACCAGCGACCCAAUGCGCAGAUGAGAUGCAGAAGUCGACGGCUGCGCGAUCGUCUGAGCUGGCGGAGUCUUGGGAAGCCCUACUGGCGAAUUCCUCGCUAAUGGAGAAUCUUGCACCUCGCUAGUAGCAACUCUGGCCUUUUUGGUUAGGGGAGCCGACGGAGAUGGCAGCUGGAGCUUCGGCUCGUUUGAAGCGGCCAUGGCACUUGAAGGAAUCGUCUCUUCGUGCGCCUCGUGCUGAUAAGAGUCUCCAGUCGACUGCUCCGCUUCACUCAACCGACCCUGCUUUCGGGAUUGAUGGCCGUCUUCGUCCUCAUCCAUGUCAUCUUCGUAAAGGGCAUCGGAGUUGGAACCGUGAACCAGUUCGUCGUCGUCGACUAGCACUCCCUCGUCCAGCGAAGGCUGGCUCAUAAGCUCCUGAUGGCCCUGUAGCAACAUCUUUCGAUGAAGACUAACAUGGAAAUUGCAGGGUAAUAAAUGGCGAGUGAGCAAGUAAAAAUCACCUCUUCGCGCGAUGAUCGGGUCCAUAGGGUGGAAGAGGCGACUCCAGAUCUUCUAAGGUGAUUUCCUUUCGAGUAACCACCCUAACUUGGGUCAGAAGAUCCUCAUCCGACAGCUCUUGCACGCAAACUAGAGUGGAAUCUGUCAGCCCCGAGUACUUCCAUAUAGAGUGAACUCGAGCUUGGAUCGGCUGAAUCCGCCCCUUCAUAAAAAGAGCGAUAAGCUGCAAACCACUCACCUCUUUCUCGGGAGUCUGCUAAAGCUCGACUACCUGUUUUAAUAGAGCAGUAGCCUCUGCAUCUUCUUCUGCUAUCAACUCAUGAUUCCAAGACUUCAGUUUCCUCACCUGAGCAGUAGCGGAGAACUCGGGCAGGCUGAAAUCCUUGCCGUCGACUGGUUCAUCCUGGAGGUAAAACCACCGACUCCUCCACUGCUGUACCGACUCGAUCUGAUGAAGGGAGAAAUACUGAACAUCUCCACGAACCUGGAUGUUGGCGCCGCCGGUCUUAUAGAUCCAGUCGCCUUUACCCUAUCGCUUAAUGAUGGAUAGCUUUUUCCACAGACCCCAGUGGGGUUUCACGCCCAAAUAGCACUCACAGAGCGUAAUGAAACACGCAAUGUGCAAAUAGCUAUUAGGCGUCAGAUCAUGCAUCUGAAGCCCGUACGCCAGCAGCAGUGCAUGGAAGAAGAAGUGGACUGGGAGAGAAAGGCCACAGAUAACAAAAUCAUAGAACAUAACUCGCUCCCCAGGCCUGGGACGGGGAGUUACCUCGUUGCCCGGGAUGCGAACUUUGCCAAAAUCUUCUCCUGGAAUCAGCCCAUGCUUCCGCAUCACCGAGAAGUGACGCGCCAAGAUCCCGGAGCGCUUCCAUUUCCUAGUCCUCUUGUCGCCGCCAAGCAUGGCAUCAACGGUUUUCUUCGAUUUCUUGUCCAUGGCGGGGGCAGCAUCGCGAGAUGUCUUCCAGCUGUCAGUAGCGGCGCUGGCGCCAGCGGCAGCGGAGGCUUUCUUCUUGCCCAUGGCAGCAAACGCACAAUGGCACUAAGGAACGAGGGGUGGAGCGAGAACGACGGAGGGGAAGUUGGGCUGGAGUAAAGAAGCAGAGCGCAGGAGGAAGCAGGAAUUGAAUGCAGAAGACAAGGAGGCGAAAUGAGGUAAGAAGAAGAAGAUUGAUAUUGCAACAGGAAAGGGCGGAAUCACCGCCGCACGAUUCAGAAUGAUGCCACGCGUUUCGCAUCUAUGUAUGACGUGUGGUCCUAGCAGAAAAGAGUCGUUUCCCCUUCCACCGAUUCAGGAACCCAUGACAGCUAUCAUUGCGCCUAAAUUCUUGCGCACGUCGUAUGGUCAAAUCAAACUGAUCGCCUUAGCAGUACUCAAUUCAGUCCGUGCAUAAAGCAUAAGGUACGUCCCAUCGACUGCCCAGACCAUUUCUUUUAUCAGAGCGUCAGCAAAGACGUCAUAUCAAACUCUGGAAAGCUCGGGUUUCCCACCCGACGGCACAGAAACUCGAAGUGUACCCGACAUACGGGCACUCGAUAGUAUUAUCUGGGUCGCACAGACUGUGAAAUACACCCGAAGCCACGCCCAUAACGUGAAGGUAAGACCCGAUGGUUUUCAUCGGGCCUGGAAAUCAGCACCGUCAGGCGAUUCCAGAACAUCCAUGCGCUUGCAUGAAGAAAAGAUCCCAACAGACGUGUUGGUUGAUCGCCCCAAAGUACUGGAUUUCGAGUCUUUAAAGCCCCCGGCAGGUUGGACUCGAAUACCGCCAGUUAUCCAAGCUCGAGCUUGGGGACUCGAGUGCUGAUGUAUGCGAACAAAGUUUUUGCCCCGGAGCAAUUAACUGGACUCGACCGAUCGAGUAUUCCAAGCGUGUUACGCAACCAUCCCACACAGCAUCAAUACAAUUUGCAGAAAUACCCUGUGGUUUCCGAGUCACAGGCUAAGAACUCUCGAAGUUCGGGCCUGACGAACACUUGAGUCAAUCGACCGACAGAAGAUUAUUUGCAAUUUGCUACACAGUCGAGUAAUCAGAAUAAGAAAACUCUUGCGUCCCUACCCGAGCCUACGCCUCGAAAAGGGACUUGUGGGCUAACUGACGAGGGAAUGACGCUUCAAGUACUCAACCUUCAUAUACCCGAUACAGCCCAACAGGGGGUCCACUCGAAGGCCCAUCAAGUAUAUGCAGGUCGAGUCCCUCAAAGUGCGGCUCAAGCCAAAGAACAUAAUCUUAUCAUACCGGAAUGAACUGAUCUGAUUGUAACCUUCCCGAUUAUCACACCCGAGACCUAACCGCCAAUAUAUAAGGCUAGGAGGUGGGAUCGGGAAAGGCGAUCCUUUAUACACACGCCAGAUUCAUCUGUGCUUCAUAGCUUCAUAGCUUUCCUGUAAUCUCAAUCAAUACAAUACACCAAAAGCAGUACGUAGGGGUAUUAUCUUCCGAGGGCCCUAAACGUGGGUAAACCUUGCGACUCUCCUAGUCUUUGUUAGUCGAUGAGAUUGCUAGUGCACCUCGUGUUCUUCCUCAGUCAAAAACGUUCGAGUUACGGAAUUGCCGAGGUAACUCCUCGACAGCCGUACAUCACCGAAUCAGCAUCCGAACUUCUGACCUUUCUUUCUUGUAUGGAUCAAACGGACAACCAGCUGUACUUCCUCCUUUCAUACUCCUGAUUUUUUUUUUCUUUUUUUCUUUAAGAUCAAAACCAGUUCUUUCUCCCUUCAUAACUAACGAUAACGAUGGCACCCGAUCGGGAAAAAAAAACGAUAACGAUGGCACGUUAUUUGAAUACGACACUAACUUGUAUUGGCAGCACCCGCAUGUUUCUAGACUCUUCCACCAGGCAGUUCGUCAGUACAGAUUACGUGUACUAUUCUUUACCUUAGCGCAACGAGUCAAAGACUAUAACGCCGGUCUACUGCGUCCGGCCUUCUCGUUCUUUUCCAUGCAACUACCAGGCAACAUCAAACCAAUAGUAAGCACGAGGACCUGCUGGACUCGAUAACGCCACAUAUAUGAAGAGGCGUGGUUCCGCAGUCCAGUGGGAAUUGCACAUCGCACAUUGAUCCUCUCCCUCUUCCUUGAAAAAUAACUCUCUGUCUCUCGAAUCUCGCCCCGCAAUCUCUCUCGAAAUCAUGGCGCCGAUGAAGGUGUUCGGGUCGGCGCCGUUCACGAACGUGGCACGGGUGCUGGUGUGCCUGGAGGAGAUCGGCGCCGAGUACGAUCUCGUGGACAUCGACUUCCAUGUCAAGCAGCACAAGGCCCCUGAGCAACUCGCCAGAAACGUACGUCAAUACAAGGAAACACAUAUAGGGUCGAGGGAUCAUUCAUCCCUCGUUCUCAGAGUUGAUUUGGAAAUAAGUUCCCGCAAAAGGAAUAAGAUUAGGAAAUAAGUUUUCCAUAGAAAUAUAUUUAUAAAUAGUACCACCAGUAAUUAACUGUGCUCUACUCCAAACAGCCAUUUGGACAGGUCCCGGCGUUCCAGGACGGCGAUCUGUUACUCUUCCGUGAGUCCACACACUUCAUAAACCCCAUCAAUUUUCAAAUCCUUCUACUAUUUCGGAAGCAGGUCACUGAGCACAGAAUUUUCUUUCCAUCUUUCUCAGAAUCCCGUGCAAUUUCGCGGUACGUGCUCCGGAAGUACAAGACCGAGGAGGUGAAUCUACUGCGGGAAGGCAACCUGGAAGAGUCUGCGCUCGUGGACGUGUGGCUAGACGUGGAGGCGCUUCAGUUCGACCCCGUGAUGCACUCGGUGUUCUAUCAGCACCGCGUUGUGCCCGUCCUGGGCGGGACAACUGAUGCGAAGAUGGUCGAGGUGAGCAUCGGGAAGCUGAAGAAGGUGCUGGACGUGUACGAGGCCCAGCUGAGCAAGCACAGGUACCUGGCAGGGGAUCUCGUCAGCCUCGCCGAUCUUAGCCAUUUCCCUGAGACGCACUACUUCAUGGAGAUGCCCCACGCGGCGGUGUUCGAUUCGUAUCCUCGUGUUAAGGCGUGGUUGGAGGAUCUCAUGUCCAGGCCGGCCGUCAAGAAGGUUGUUAAAAUGAUGGGCCAGGAAACCCACUAAAAGUUGUGCUAGUCUGUGCCGUACGUACUACGCCUGGUGCCUACUUACUAGCUGUACGCAUGGUGCCUCUUUAUUCCUUAGCUUUAGUUUCAGCUUAAUUUUGUCUUGCAAAUAAUAUACGUGUACCGUGCGCUCUGUUCACUUCACGGUAUUGUUCGCUUUAGUCACUAGAUUGUCUAGGGCAUCUACGGUGGAAGAUAACACUGUCAUUUCUUAUGUGUUCUUAAAAACAAGUACAACAAAUAUUGUACCAUAAGUCAUCUUUUAGUGUCAUAUCUUACAAUUAGUGUUUACGUGAAUAAAAUUAAUUAAAUAAAUGCUAAGAAAACGUGAAUUCUAGUAUAAUUAUAAAACUGUCUUAUUAUUGCUUUAUCCUUCUUGUGAAGAAAUUAUCUAUUAGUUAAGAAAACAGCUUGCUUUGAGAACCAUGGUCUAUGAGGAAUCGCCAGUCUUCCACUCGCUUUCAACUCAUGCAUUAUAUUCUAGGAAGUAUGCAUCUUUCCUGGUAUGAGUAAUAAAAAAAUCACCAUCAUUCAUCAGUCAUGUACUCAUGUUCAGCACACCAAACAUUAUGUACUUGAACCAAUACAUUUGUAAAUGGAUUAAGAUGUCAUGAAGAUAUGCCAUCUGAGGAAAGCAUAAAAUUGUCAUGAGCACUCUGAUGUAAGAAAACAGCUAACCAAUCAAUUAUGCUUUGUUAAGUUCUUACACUGGGACAUGCCACAAUCUCAGUAUCUCAUCUAACAUGUAGAUAUGGCUGCAAACUGUGUUCAUAUAUUUUCGCUGAUUCUACGCCUGCAUAGUAAGUUAGACACAUGUAAGUGCACCAUGGUAAGAGAAAAAUGUCUAUAAUAACAUUAAGCAUCUGAUGCAAAUAAUGCCAAAUCAAAUGCAGUCUUGUAAUGGGAGUAGCAAAAUCCCGAUCGAAAGUUCUUGGUCACCUUAAUCACUGGGUCAAUCAAAAUUCUCUUUAAUUAUAUGCCAUUGGGGAAAUUAUCACUGAAGUACCAAGUAUUAGUACCAACAUAUAUAUUAAUUGGUGCUCACAACUAAUGAGGAUCGGAGAGAGUAAUACUAAUUUAUAUUCAUAUAUGUACAUAGGUAAUUAUUUCCAGACACGGUCUAUUGCAAUCCAACUACAAGGGAAAAAGGAAGUUAUAUGUUUGGUACCAUCUGUCAAUUGGUUAAUGUGAGUAAUGUCAGACAUAAGUCUCGGGCCGGCUAACGAUGCCGGCAUGCCCAAGCAAUGCCCACAGCACGGUUAUGAACUCACCGCCACGCCGGAGCGACUUCGCAUGCGCCGUGACAUUCUCAGACGGCGCCAGGAAGACGAUGAGCUCCGCCCAGAACUCGGCCAGGACCUUCCACACGAGCUCCUCGUUGCCGACCUCCUCCGCGAGCUGCCGGCCUAGCUUCGACGCCUUCCUCAGUGCUUGGUUCGUACUCCCGCCGAGGCACGUCGCCAGGCGCUCGUACCGCACCAGCGGCCCCGCGCAGCGCGCCAGCACCCUCGUCGCCUCCUCCACAACUCCCUCGUAGAGCUCCUCUGUCCAUGCCGGGUGAUCCGGUAACAGCUCUGGCUUCAUAGCGACGAGGUAGGCACAGUAGCGUGACAGGUGAGUUGCCACGACCUCAUGGCCUCCAUCUGCGUCGACAUUGUCGCUGCUGCCAUGAGCUCCCUGAUCUGACCGCUUGAUCUCGAGUAGCCUUGUGGCGACAUGCCACACAAGGAUCUGCUCGGAGAUGCUUGUCUCAUCACCACCAAUGCCGUCAUCGGCGCCGCCUGCACCGAUGCGGCAAGCCCAGACGAGCUUAUCAGCGACGCCGUUGCGUCGAAGAGAAAGCACGCCGUUUACCAGUGAUCCUUGGUUCGUCCUCAGAGUGGUGACGAUGGCUGACUUCACCCACGCUGGCACGGCGACGGAUGUCUUUGCGAUCCGGUCCACAUGCCGGGACACGCACCCGCAGUAGCACAUCCGGGGCUGCAGGACGGACGACUGGCCGAACCGGUCGUCCCAGCGCUGCACGGCCUUGAACCGGAGGACGCGGCCGAGCUUGCGGCGAGUCCAUGGCGAUUUCCGCCACGACGGGCGGCGCGCGUACUCGCAGAGGGUGGCCACCUUGAUCCAGUCGGAGCGGACGUAGUUGGCGAUCUCCCACCCUUCCGUGAACACGAUGGCGAUGAUGAAGGACACGGUGACGAGCAUGUCGAGGCCGACGAUGGCGUGGAAGAUGGUGUCGUGGUUCUGCAGGUAGCUCCUGAGUUGGUUGUAGUCCACGGCCAGCGCCGUGCCUCUGUUGGUCAUGUCGUGCACGAUGGCCCCGCCGGCGGCCAGGCAGCUCAUCCACGUGGCCAGCACGAGGGUCGAGUUGAGCACCGGGAACCACCAACCGCUCGCGUAGAAAGAGGUCAGCUUGGAGUAGAGCAAGUCGGCGAGGAAGGAAAGCUCGGUCUCGAUCACCCGGAAGGCCCUCUCCGGGCUACUACCUGCCCCCAGGAGGCCAUCCUGCACGAACGCCAAUGCUCGGCGAGAGCCCACCUCGGCGAGGGGGCACCCGAGGAACCGCCGGAGCUGCAGCUUGAACAGGGAAAAUGAAAGGCAGAGAUCUUUAAUCUGCGGAUAAGACGCGAGGAGCGAGUCUCCCGUUGAAGAAAGUCGCCAUAUCCGGUCCACCGUGACGACAUGCCCAGCAUCGAUGGACAACGAGGUCUGGCCAAUUCGGUACCCUCGCGGCCUGGCCUCGAUGUGUAGCUUCUCCUCGCCCAUCACCAAGUACGGAGGCAUGCUGUCUUCUUCUCCAUGUGGCAGGAGGUCUUCUUGUUGCCCAUAGAGCUGUUUCAUGUAGUCAGAGAUGAGGUAGGCGUUGAGCCCGACGGCGAAGGAGUUCUUGGCGAGCUCUGCAGCAACGAGGCGGUGGAUGAGCUUGACGAGGCUGAGCACCCACAGCCAGAGCAGCACGCCGGUGAGCUGCGGGCUCCCGGCGUUGCCGCCGCUGCUGAUGAUGAGGAACGCCACCCAGCCCAUCCGCGCCAGCUGCUCGACAGAGGGGCGGAACUUGCUGCUGCCGCUGCUGCCACCGGUGCUGUCGAUGGUGAGGGAGGAAGACCGCGCGGUGUCGACGGUGUUGCGCAGGAUCUGGAGGAAGACGGUCCAUGCGAGGAGGAGGGGCACGCGCGCGGCGUCCCAUUUGGCGGCCGCCGAGACGGCGUAGGAGACAAGCGGGAGGAACAAGGUGGAUGCGGCCCACACGAAUAGGCGCAGGGCCGGGUGGCCCGCGCGCCGGCGGUAGGAGCUGAGCACCACGAGGAGGGAGAGGAGGACGAUGCUCACGAUCGCCGCCACCUCCAUCAGGAGGAGGUUCAGUAGGCUCGUGGCCAUGGCGAAAAUCACCUCGAUGCCUCGAUCGAUCACUCUCCUCCGAACCCAAGCUAGCUAACAGUUAUUAAUUGUUCGAAUUUCGCAAGACAAGACAAGCGUGUGCAGGGUGUAGUUAUUCAUGCAUGCAUGUGCAUGGAAUCAGCAGGUGGGUAAGCUUCAUGCAUGCAUGCUGCAGGGUGAUCAGAAGAAGGUUGGAUUGCAAGCCAAGUAAAGGACAGAAUUCAAUUCUAUGCUUUAGGCACAAACUCAAACAAGUAACUGGCUGUAAAGUCGCACAUCACAUGCACGAUGCUUGAGCCUUCAGGUAUACACAAGACACUUCAUCCAGCAGGUUUGUGCAGCUUAAAAUUGUUUUAUCCAUGAUAUAUACUACUCCGUACUAAUUUAUACAGCUCACGCGUGAGACAUGUGUACUAUAUAUGUGGCAGGAAAAGUUGAUUCUACUCCCGAGCUUUUUGCUCCUUCUAUCACAGCCGCUCAUCAACUAACGUGCAUGUGACGGGAUUUCGGACGGAAAGUUAGCACUUUUCGUGCAGCAUGGUUAUUUCGAUCGGAUCGACAUACUCGCAGUUGUUUCGAUCGGAUAGACGUACUCGCAGUUCUUCUCGCGGGCGGAAGACCUUGCUCUCAUCUGGCAGUAGUUUAGUAGAGAUGCAAUCGGAAACAUAUACACUAAACCUAUUUUUGUACUGUUUCCCGCUGCACGCGCCUUCAAAAACCUUGUCCGAUCCGCAUCCACUUUCGAUCCAUAUAAACUAUGCCAUAUCGAUCAGCAGUACGUAAACAGUAGUCCACUGUUAUUGAACAGCAUCCUUGUGAUUUGAUAAGUUAGGCACGGUGUCCACGCGCGAAUGUAACUCAACAGGUUGAUGCAAAAUAAAGCAAAACGUUGUAUGUACUGCAGCUGUGAAUCCGAUAGAGAGAGAAAACACAUAUUUCUUCCGUCCCAAAAUAAGUGAUGUGUAUUUGUAUAAGAAUUUAUACAAUUCCACGUCAGUUAUUUUGGUGUGUGUAUAAAGAGAGGGAGAUAUAAAAAACACAUUCUUGAGAGAGAAUUGAUAAUAUAUAGAGGGACAAAGUAAACACAUAUUCUUGAGAUAGAAUGUAUAUAUAUAUCGACAGAGAAAAGUACCUAUUCUUGAGAGAUGGUGGAUAUUAUGGAGAGAAAGUACAUGUUCUGAAGAGAGAAUAUAUAUAUAUAUAUAUAUAUAUAUAUAUGUAUGUAUAUAUAUAUAUAUAACAUAUAUUUUGAGACAGUUGUACAGGCAUGGACCACUGUUGUAAUCUCUGGAUGAAAACUUUACCGUGGGCACCACCAGUAUGAUCGUGAGAUAUAUUUACUCACUCCGUCUCAUAUUAAGUGACGAAAUAUUACAUGUAUCAAAAUGUUUUUUUAUACAGGUGCAUCCAUAAAGAGGGCUAUAUUCUUGCAGCCAGCAGCAAAUAGACCUACGAAUGUCUGAAUUGGUUUUAGAUCAUAGUGUGUCAGUGUUGUCGGCCCCAAAGUUUUCAUAAUGAUUUCACUAUUCAACGACAUGACCGCAACAGUGUUACGCAUCUUUUUUUCCAUCACCAAAUAGUACACCUAUGUUGGACUAGGUAGCCAGUAGCCCAGUACUAACGGCUCUCGGCAACGUCUCCGUUUGCUGCAGCCAUACUAGCUGCAUGAUGCCAUCGCUAUGAAAGAUCGGACGGCGCUUGACGUGUUCGUGGACGGCUUGGAUAGGUGGAGUAAAAAGCUCGAGACCAAAAAAUCCACUCUCGUGGGUGGCACCUUCUCACGCAAAUAUGAAUGUACUACAGGAAAAGUCGCCUGAAAUUUCACGGAUUUCAAUCUUUUUUUACUAGUCUUCGGAUUAGCAAUUUUGCAUCCCGACUGCCACUUAUUUUCUCUUAACGUGGUGGAUUGGCGGAUCUACGAUUUUACCACUCCGGGUGCCCACCUUAUAUAUACACAUUGUGUUGUGCAAAUAUCAAGGAUAACAAACAUAAGUUAAAUUAUGCCCUAAUUUUACCACUGGGGGUGCCGCGCCACCUUAUACACAUAGAUUAGUUCAAUAUUUUUGAAUGCAAGAAAUCAUUACUGAAAUGCCCUACUUUUUUGACAGCAGAAAAAGAAAAUUGGCCUAGUGAAUAAAACAAAAGGGAUGUUUCCACAUAAGCACCGAGUUAUUGGAUCCUAAAAACUCACCCUGUAUCAGUUUGCUCGAACAUCAAAUAGGGUCAGCCACAGCAGCAAACCUUGAUAAUCGACCUUUCACAUAGAUUAUUUAUUCGGUGGCAAGCAGGGAUAGCAAUCUGAAAACUUGAAAUAUAAAUGGUCAAAAAUAACUAAAAAAUUAUAAUCUCUAGAGAACCAUUUCAUCUAAAUGGACUUCAGCACAAAUGUUUUCAAUAAUGUAAACCAUCUCACUGAAUUCUCAGCCCACUACGACGACCAUUUGACCAUUUUUUUAUUGUUUUUGCGAGUAGAACGAACUUCGAAUCUCACAACCAAGCAAGGUGAAUACAGGCACAACCUGGUCCACGAUGACAUGAAACAUAACUCCUAAAGCAAUCUCCUCCACAACCUUGCAGAAGAAGAAAGUCCUAAAUCAUGGCCUGGCAUACGUGUAUCUAGCCAGCAAGGCGGUCUAUUUCAGUAACACUAUGUACAUGAAUGGAGUGACAAACAUGAUCUAGCCAACAAUACCAGACCAUUUGCAAAUCAAAGCAUACCAGCAUGCCAGCAAAGAAACACAUUCAGAAAUAAAGGCUGAAAAUAAACACAGCAUAGCCAAUCAAUCACUUUGUUUUUCUAGUAGAAUAUCUUGCCUGCAACCUUGACUUUUUAAGCUGGGCAGACUGUGCGGCAGGCCUGGGGCAAUGUAUUAGAUGCCAAUGCUUCUACAUACCUGUGCAUGGUGGAUGAAGAAGAAACUUCAAUUGGAAUAAAAAAUAACUAAGUCACUGGAUCAAUCAAGAAGUAAACAUGGAGAGAUUUAGAGACUAAGGAACUAACAUAUUUGUAUGAGAACAUGACCAUGGGAUCCAGCAACUGUCCGUCCUUCAUGGUAUCAAUGUGUACACGGGUUCUGCCAUAACGCCCAGGCAUCUUUAGUAACCGGGGCCAAGUUGAAAUGGAAAAUGGAAAAUAGAACAUGUGACAUUUUUUAAUAAACUAUCAUACUACGAAGAAUAUCACAACUGAAUGAAAAAAUAGCAGUUACCAUGAAGUUCUAAAGAACACGGUUUUGAGCACUUUAUUUUUAUAAUAUGGCAUAUAUUUCUAAAGAACACGGAUUUGAGCACUUUAUUUUUAAAACAUGGCAUAUACAUCUAAAGAACAUGGAUUUGCAUUCAGUUCAAAGCUAUGAAGCAUAUCACAACUGAAUGCAAAAAUAGGAGUAACCAUGAAGUUCUAAAGAACACGGAAUGUUUGAGCACUUUAUCAUGGCAUAUAUUUCUAAAGAACACGGAUUUUAGCACUUUAUAUGUAUAACAUGGCAUGUACAUCUGAAGAACAUGGAUUUAAAUUCAGUUCGAAGAUGGCAUAUACAACACAAAUUUUGCAUUCAGUUCAAAGAUGGUAUAUACUUCUAAAAGACAUGGAUUUCCCUUGCGCUAAGGAGUAUUUGCUAUACUGGCUUUGUCAAUGCUAAUUGCUAACCCCACCCAUGCUAGUGUGAGUGUUGUCCAAAAAGACGUACGAUCAUCUCCGUGUCAAGGAGCAGAUCAGGGAAAGAAUUACCAGAUCAAUGCUUGUCUGCAACAAUGCACACAUGAGCUGCCAAACUGAGCUUCCCUCGGCUACAAACCCAGAGAAUUCAUUUCUCCACACUGACUAAUACACACUGGCUUUGUCAAUGCUAGUUGCUAACCUGACCCAUGCUAGUGUGAGUGUCAACCAAAAUGAUUCAAUGCCACCAUAUUGGUUAUGUGCCAUAUGUUCCUCAGCUGUGAGUUGUGACAGGCAGAUGAUGUGUUAACUGAACAGAAAACACGAGUUUGCCAGAAAGAAGACAAAAUUGCCUUUUAUGUGUGGAUGAUGUGGUAUGUCGACUAUCACUUGCGCCUGGCACACGCAUAUCAGUAAUCUGCAGUUUGCUGUUUCCAUGUUUUUUCUGGUGUUUGAAACGCCCUUCUUCAGCAUUUGGAUGCUACGGAAUUAACAUGCAGUCUCUCGUCAUGUUUUGUACUGCAGAUCUUCAGCAUGCGGCCAUAGGAAAUUAUAAUGCACAUAUCAACUUGCUUUGAGAACCAUGGUCUAUAAGGAAUCUCCAGUCUUCAACUAGCUUCCAACUCAUGCAUUACAUUCUUGGAAGUAUGCAUAUUUCCUGGUAUGAUUAAUCAAAAAAUCACCAUCAUUCAUCAGUCAUGUACUCAUGUUCAGCACACCAAACAUCACGUACUUGAACCAAUACAUUUGUCAAUGGAUUAAGAUGUAAUGAAGAUAUACCUUCUGAGAAAAGCAUAAAAUUGUCAUGAGCACUCUGAUGUAAGAUAACAGCUAACCAAUCAAUUAUGCUUUGCUAAGUUCUUACACUGGGACAUGCCACAAUCUCAGUAUCUCAUCUAACAUGUAGAUAUGGCUGUUAACCGUGUUCAUAUAUUUUCGCUGAUUCUACGCCUACAUAAUAAGUUAUUGACACAUGAGUAUGUAUGUAAGUGUACCAUGAUAAGAAAAAAUGUCUUAAAUAAUAACAUUAAGGCCCUGUUUGGAACAGAGGAACUCAAAACAUAGGAAUAGGAAAAAACACGGGGAUAGGAAAGGAAUGCAUGUGCAAAACAGAGGAAUCAGAAACACAGGAAAGUUUUGCAAAAACCUGUUUGGAACACAGGAAACUGAAAACACAGUAAUGUUUCUACAUAAAGAUAAAAUAAGGUUAAAUUCAUUUCAUUUUCCCUAUAUUAGAUAAUGAUUGGAUCUGCAUAGAAAACUUGUAAUGAAAAUUUGGAACACAUGAAAAAAUAUAUUGAGAUGAUUGACAUGUACUAUUAAGAAUCGCAAUCAUAUUUUAUUAAUUAGCACAUCUUCAACUAGUCUCUCCUGUUUCUUCCCCUCCCUCUCUUCCUGUCUCCUCUCAGUACGGGCUGGUUCUGUAUGUCAGAAGCCCACAACGCAGCUGCAGGCUGCAGCCUCGGUCUUACACGCUCGAGUGAAAAAAAGAGAUGCUAGUGGAUGUUUAUAUUCCUGUGCAAUUCCUGUGAAAGCAAAGGAAAUGGAUUCCUAUCCUCAUACCUAUUCCUACAAUCCAAACGGCCCAAAUGGUUCAAUUCCAUAGGAAUCACACAUCCUACAUUUUUCCUGUGAAAAUACUGCAAUCCAAACGGGGCCUAAGCAUCUGGUGCAAACAAUGCCAAAACAGAUAGAAGCUUGUAAUGAGAGUAGCAAAAUCCCAAAACUUCUUGGUCACCUUAUCACUGGGUCAAUCAAAUUAUCUUUAUAUGCCAUUGGGGAAAUUAUCACUUAAAUACCACGUAUUGUUAUUUUCGCGGUUACGCUAGUAUAUAAAAUGAUUAAACUUGGUAAAUUAAUAAGCUAAGAAGAAAGUAAAUUGCAUUAUGCAAAGAGACUGCCUAUAUCAGAUUUUUGCACUCAAUAGCCAGUGUUGCCAUGUGAAGAUAGAGAACAUUGCUUAUUUUUCUAAACAAGAUAAGAAUAGGUAAACACAUCAUUAGUUGGUCAUUUUGCUAAGGUUUUGGCAUGUUUCCUAAUUACUCCUACCAUAAUACCCAUGCAUUGCUACGGAGUAAAAAAUACAUUAUCUAUAUGUUUAAAGACAAUGUUGUACUACCAUCUAUUAACUUUGAUUGUACAUCUAUACCUGUUCUCAUCUCAAUGAUUUAUGCCAAAUCAACAAGUGAUGCAGUUUGAAGGUGACGGACCACCGCCACCAAUUGAGUCUUUUAUAUAACUAAGUAUAUAAAAUUAUUAACCUUUUUAUAAAUUAAUAAGCUAAGAUGAAGUACAUUACAUUGUGCAAAGAGAGUACCUAUAUCAAAUUUUGCACUCAAUAGCCAGUGUUGCCAUGUGAACAUAGAGAAAAUUUCUUAUUUUCUCAACAAGAUAAGAAUAGGUAAACAUAUAAUUAGUUGGUCAUUUUGCAAAGGUUUUGGCAUGUUUCAGAGUGACUCCUAGAUCUUAGACCGUUCAAAUACAGAAGGUAAAUGAUGUCUCAGCGAUCCAUCUUUGAAGUAAGUAUUACUUUUACCUCCAUUUUGUGUUGUUCUAUUUGACUUAAGUAAACAUUUCCUUAAGAUAAAAUAAACAAAACAUUAAAAAACUAACUGGAAAAUUGGGUUGCAGAAGUAAUCGUGAACUCCAGAAAGAGGUAUUAAACAUAGUGUCAGGGCAAACAAUAAUUUUACUGGACAAACAAUAUUAACUACCACUCCUGCAAUUCCACACAACAGGAGGAUUUUAUUCAUAGAACUGGAAGGAUUUCUAAGGGCACUAACACUGAGUUGUAUAAGCUAAUGAAUGCCCACUAAAGUCUCAUUUAAUAAUGAUGCAUAGAAACGGUGAAUUUCUUUUAACGUAAAUACAGCCAUAACAUUUUACAGCACAGGUUAAGUUUCUUGAAUUCUAGUAGAAACAACCAGCCAACUUACUGUUCUUGUCACGAGAAGUCAGCUAUAAAUUGCUGAUAUCAAUUGUAAUUGGUCUUCUUGAUGAGAUUCUCCUAAUGCGUCCGGUACAUCCCGUGAAUAUUUAGAUGCUGGAUUGUACCCUUCAUCCUUCAUGUGUUUACCUAGCCUUCUCAACUCGGUAUUUAUAAUUUCGGCAUCAGGAUGCUGCUGCUCCCCAACAACAAACACAUGAACUCGGCUGUUAAGCUCAACCCAACUGCAUCCUGGAUCUUUGCUAACUCCAACAAGUUUCAUCAAAUAUCUCACCCGCUCAACGUCAUUCCAUUUCCUCUGUGCAGCAUAGAUGUUUGACAACAAUAUAUAUGCUGCGGAGUCCCCAGUACCUAAAUCCAUCAGCUUUUCACCUGCAUAUGCUCCAACAUCAAAAUCCCGUAAGCUUCGACAUGCUCCCAGUACUAUACGCCACAAGCAUGUUCCAUGGUCGAUAGUGAUUGACUCUAUGAAAUCUUUUGCUUCACUUAGCAUCCCUGCACGGCUAAGAAUAUCCACCAUGCAAGCGUAAUGAUCGAGCCUAGGAGUUAAACCAUAGUCUUUGAUCAUUGACCUGAAGUAAGUCCAUCCUCUGUCAACUAGGCCCAUGUGACUACAAGCACAUAAUACAUUAAUGAACGUUACAGGAUCAGGAGCAGUGCCCUCUAGCUUCAUCUCCUCAAAGAGAUUGAUUGCGUCGUUUCCACGCCCAUUUUGAGAAAACCCAGAAAUAAUCGAGUUCCAUGCAAUAACAUCCCUAUGAGGCAUCCUUCUGAAUACAACCAUGCCAUCUUCGAGGUUUCCACAUUUUGAAUACAUUGUAGACAAGGCACUUCCAACAGAAGCCCCCAAACCAAACCCGAACUUCAGGAUUUGAGUGUGCAAUUGCUUCCCUGGCUCCAAUGCUGCAAGGCCAGCACAUGCUCUAAGAAGACUAGUUAUUGUCAAGGUAUUAGGAAAUACGCCCUCCUUAUCCAUCCUGGCAUACAACAUCAAGGCUUGCUCGAAUUCCCCAUUCUGCACAUGCCCAGUAACCAUUGCCGUCCAAAGGACAAUGUCAAGCUCAGAAAACUGAUUAAAACAUUCUUUUGCAUCACCAAUACAGCCGCAUUUGGCAUACAUGUCCACCAGUGCGCUCUUCACAUAAACCUGUACCUCAAAACCAAGCUUCACCAUCAAACCAUGUGCCUGUUUCCCCUCCAUCAAUGUUCCCACAUCACUACACGCGUUGAGAACCCCAACCAAAGUGAAUUCAGUUGGUGGGAACCCUGCAGCAUGCAUCUGUGAGAACAUCCUAACUGCACUUUCUGCAUUCCCAUUCUGUGAAUACCCAGUAAUCAUUGCAGACCAAGUGAUGGAGUUCCUCUCCUUAGACGACUCAAACACAUGGAAUGCUGCAUCCAUACACCCGGCCUUCGCAUACAUUGUGACAAGUGAGUUCUCAACUGACACAAACCCCACCAUCCCAUCCUUCACAACCAGCCCAUGCACCUGGACCCCCAUCGGCAAGCCAAGUGGCACACUAAUCGCACUAAGAACCGCUGUGGCCACAAACUCAUUUUUGUGCAACGGGCACUCGCCAAGCAUCUGCCGGAAGAGCUCAAAGGCCUCCUGAGAGCACUUUCUAGCAGCAUACCCCGCCACCAUGGCGGCCCAGGACACCUCGUUUCGGUGCGGCAUUUCGUCAAACACAAGCUGGGCGUCGGGAAUGAGACCCAGCUUGCAGUACAUGUUGAGCAGCGCGGUGGAUACGAACACAUUGGAGCUGGCGGACGGGAGCUUGCAAGCGAGAGCAUGGACCACGGCUCCGGCGGACGCGGAGUGCGCACGGGCGGCGGCCGUGAAGGCGGCGGCGAAAGAGUGCGGAGACGGGAGGAUGGUGGAGGAUGAGAGCAUGGAACGGAAGUGGGAGAGCGCGGCGAGGGGCCGGUGGUGGGAGAGCGGGUUGAGGAGAGAGUUCCAGGAGGCAACGUCACGGGCGGCGGCAGGGAUGUCUGCGAACACGGCGAAGGCCGCGGGCAGGAAGAGGCGUGGGAAGGAGGAGUAGAAAGUGAUGAGCGAGUUGGAGACGGGCGCGUGGGAGGACGAACCGGACUUGAGCGCCCAAGCGUGGAGGGCCUCGCCGUCGCGGGGGCGGGAGGCGCGGCGGAGGUGCUCGAUGAACUGCGUGUGGGAUACCUGGCCCGUGAAAGCCAAGGGCGGCGCCCUUGCCAUUGAAUCGGGGUGGAGGCACUACCGCACUAGCAAGUAGCAACCGAUCAUCAUCAUCAUAACUAAAACGAGUUUUCCGUCGACCAAACUUGCAGCGCCGCCCCCUUGGUUCGUCGUGACAUUGGCGAAGGGAGCAGAUGAUUCAAUUAUCGGUUGAUCCGGUAGGAGUAUUAAAUUUGAAUUUCCAAAAUAACUUAUAUUUUGUACCGUAAAUUUCACUCCCUCGUCAGCUGACAUGAAUUUGUAUAGCAUGGACGAAGUACUCCCUCCGAUCCGAAAAGAAAUGCGUGUAACAUUUCACGCGAUGUUCCGAAAAGGAAUGCGCGCUCCUCUUUUCUCCUCCCACCUGACCAAAGAGCCCCUACUUUCCAUCCACUCAACUGUCCACCUGUCUGAUCACUUUAUUGUUUUCUUGUUUUACUCUGCAUGCAAAUUCUUCUCCCUUUUCUCUUCUCCUACCGAAUACUACUCCUCCUCCUGCUCCUCCUCCACUGGACCUUGCUGCCUCCGCCUCCAACUCCAAGAGAAGAACACCAAGACGAGAUGAAAUCAAAAGGAAAAAUCGAGAUGUUUGAUGAGAAAUCGAAGAGAGCUUGUCUUCCGUCCGUGGAGGACGAGUCAGCUCCGCUUGCCGUUGACUUUGACAUGCCUGGCGACCACUCCGACGACGAGACCGACGAUGGUGAAUACCAGGAUCUUUCAAUUUGGGGGGAGAGCCAAGAAGAUGGCUUCGACGAACUCUACGUCUGCAGCGAGGAAGAAGACACGGAAGAAGAGAAGCGCGUGGGCGGAGGGCGACGCGUCCGUCACAGCGAGCACUGAGACCCGCGUGGCAGCCACCGCGACGAGCCCGGCAGGCUCGGUGAGGGCGCACGCGGGCUCGUCCACAGCGGCAUGCACGACUUGCCGGACGACGAGCCGGUGGACGACGGCGUGCGCGGGGUCGGCCACGACACGAGCAUGGGCGGCACGCACGGGCGUGGCCACGGCUCUCGCAGACUCAGCAGCGUGCUCUCCAUCGGCCGCGAGAAAGAAGGCGACCAGCACAGCGAGGGCCGUGCGUGCGGUCUCAACGACGGCGUGUGCGGACUCGGCGGGGACAUGCACGGCGGCACGGCGUGUGGACUUGGACACACGUGCGGCAAGCUCGGCCACGGCCACGGCCGCGGCGUGCACGGUAGGUCGUGCAACUCCCAGCUUGGCGAGCGCAGCGCAUCCAGUGCGUGCCCGUGGACUCAAGCGACGAUGACGGAGCUCGCCAUCUCUGCUGUGUGCGUGGGUGCGGAGGCGAUGGUGGUGGCAUGCUUAGAGACAGAGCUUGCAGCCGCGGUGACAUGGGCCAAGUAAAAUUUUCCAUUUGCCAAGUAAAAUUUCUGGGUUCCCUUUGUGCGAUAGAACCAUUUCUAUCAAUAUAAAUGGUGUUGUACACGUCCAGAAAUUUAGGCUCAUGAGGUAAGCUCUGUGGGCGUGCUCCUCGUCUGCAUGGCCAUCAUGGUGGGUGUGCUCGUCGUCUGCAUGGCCAUGGUCGUUGGCGUCGCCGUGAUCUCCUCCGUGCUCGUCGUCUGCAUGGCCAUGGUCCUCGGCGUCGCCGUGAUCUCUGGCAUGCUGGUUGUCUGCAUGGUGGCCAUGGUCGUCGGCGUCGCCGUGAUCUCCGGUGCGCUGCUCGUCGGCGUGGCCGUAUUCGCUCGCGUGCACCUCUUCGGCGUGUACCAGGACUUCAUUGGCUGGUACACCGCGUCCGCGACUAGCAGUGAGUCCCAGCCGGGUGCGUCCCCGCCCGCGGCGAUCGGGCAUGAAGCCGCGGCCGGCAAGCACGAGCCGCGCGCUGCCGCUGCCAGCGCGUUCCAGCGUGCCCGAGCUUGAGCCAGGCGAUAAGCUUCUGCUGCCGUUGAGCCCGAGCCGUGCGCCAUGAAUUCCGUUGCCGCGUCCAGAACGAGGCUCGCCGAGGUGCUGCUCCGCUUGAUGAUCGCCACCGCGUCCAGCAUGCUCGAGCCGUCCGUCGCCACGCCCAGUGUGCUCCAGCCGUGGGCUGCCACGGCCGGCGACGUCGUCCACUCCAUUCCCACGGCCGGCGAGUCCGAGUCCGUCGCCGCGUCCGGCGAGCUCGAGCGGUGGGCUACCGCGGCCGGCGACGCCGAGAACUCCAUUCCUGCGGCCGGCGAGCUCGAGCGGUGGGCUGCCGCGGCCGGCGACACUGAGAACUUCAUUCCCGUGUCCGGCAAGCUCGAUCCGUGGGCUGCUGCGGCCGGCGGCAUCGUCCUCUCCUUCUCGUUCUUCAUCAGUAUCCCACUUCAAAUCAUAACUCAAAUCCUCAACUUCACCCUCAUACUCUUCUACCCCAUCCCAGUUGAUCGGUUGGUUAAGAUCCAAGUCGGUCAUGAAGGAAAGCAGAGAAGAAAACAGAGCGGUGAGCAGAAUUGGAUUUUCAGCUCAUGCUAGCGCAUGGAAGAUGGAGCAAAGGAUGAGCAGAAUGGAAGAUGGAAGAUGGAGCGUAGGACAUGACCAGUUUUCAAAUUUCAAUUUCGUUGGCGAUACUAAUCAGUCUACUGCCAAAAAUUCGUUCCCUCCAAAAAUUUUCUUGCUGGUCGUCCGUCCAAUGAGCAAACAGUUCUGUCCAGACCGCAUGCAAGGAGGUGGAAGAUGAGCGGACGUGGGCAAGCAACAAGCAGCGUAGUGGUGGGCCCAAUGCAAAUUGUUCCGAAUUGUUUGCAUGCGAGGAGCUGACUGUGAUAGCGACAGCAGCCCACAGCCAGAGGAGAUUGCGUACGCACUCUGCGUCCAAAAUGAGAUAACUUUGCAUUGCAUUGGUUUGGCUGCAAGAGGUUAUGCGCCCUCCUUUUUGGAAUGGAGGGAGCAUUAAAUAUCCGUUUUCACGGUUGUGUUCGUCUCGACUCUCGAUGAGUGUUUCAAAAUAUACCACGUAUUAUUAUGUUUUGAUGAUUGUUUUUACACCAGCCGUUAUCAAGUUAUACUAUCCUCAUGGAUACCAUGUUAGUUGUGAACGUUUAUCAUAUAACAUCGGUCAAUUUAUAAUAUAGGCUUACCAAGUAAAACAUGUACUCACUCCGUCCGAAAAUAAGUGACGUGUAUUUGCAUAGAUUCUUAUGCUAAGUGAUGUGGAUUUGUAUAGAUUCUUAUGCUAAGUGACGUUAAUUUGGAUAAAUUUUUAUGCAAAUCCACGUCACUUAUUUUCGGACGGAGGAGUAUUCACAUAUUGCAAUGUUAUGCAAGUUCAGAGAGUUAUAAGUAUUAAAAUGUUUGAACAAGUAAAAAAAUUUCAUCAAAUAAUAAUAUUUCAAGUAUUUUAUAUACAAAGGUAUAUGUUGAUGCUCGGCAAACAUAAACAAGUGAGUAUACCCUGACAACCAUGAGGUCACAAUUUGAUAUCUUCUCCUCUGACUUGCCUUCCAAGAUAUAUGUUGGAUUUCGGAAUGGCCAGUGAGACAUGAGGUUGCACCCUUUGUGGUCAAUAAGAGGAGACCAUGGGUCACCUCAUGUGGUAUGAGAGCAUCUCCAAUGGGCUACCCCAAAGCUAUCCCAAAUGUCCUAUUUGGGACAAAAGGACAUAUUGGCCCAAAAAUCACAUCCCAAUGGGCUCCCCCAAACAGACAUAGUGGCCUUUUUGUCCGGACAGAUCCCCCAAACUUGCCCCAAAUUUGGGGGCGAAAUGGGAUGUCCUUUUGUCCUCUGUUCGGGCCUGGCCCACGGACUUUUCUUUCUCGCACCAGCUUCUUUUCCUCCCGAACGGGAUUUCCUUCGUUGCCCAGUCCCCCGUCGCCUUCCCCCGUUCGUUCUUCCCCAACCCCGAGCUCCCCCAUGGACGGGAAGCGGAGGCCGAAUCCCGCCGUCCCCCGUCGCCUCCCCGCACCCGAGCCGCCCUGGACAACACACCGAGGCCGUCCGCUGUGUCCCGUCGGGGCCCUUCACCUACCGGCGCCCUAGCUGCCAUGGACGGCGCACCGAGAAACUCCGCACCUGCUGCUGUCCACGUCGACGCCGCCGUCGCAAGGAAGAUCCCCAACCCCGAGAGCUUGAAGCGCAAGGAGAGGUGCCACCGGGCCGCGGAGGCGAAGAAGUUGCAGGAGGAUGCCGCUGCUCGAGCCCUUGCCGCCGCCAAGGAAGAAGAUGCCAUCGCUGCUGAGGCGGCGCAUAACCAGUAGUUGGCCGCCCAAUAGGCUCUCCUCCUGUACAAUCGGCAGGCCGUGGCGGUGGCAUUUGCCCAACAAGCGGCCGUGAGUCAAUCUUCAGGGAACCGCCUUCCUCAGAGCAUGUCGCCACCCGUGUCAUCUCCGACAUACGGCUCCGGGCCUGCAAUGGGACCUCUCUCUCCAUGCAUCCAGUCCUCGGAGGUGGGCGACUCGGUGUCGUUUGCGGGUGCAUCGUCGGCUCUCGACCUCAAUGCCAUGAACAGCCCCGGUGACUCGCCAAUGAUGCAAUGGAUGCCUCCAUCCGCCCGCGAUCUCCCUGAUGGUCGGAAUCUGUUCAGUUCUCCCUCCCCGACGGCCGUGUCACCGGAUGCCCGGAAUGUGUUCGAUGAAUUGCCACCGACAAAUGAGGUACAUCUUUCACUAAUUCAAUUUGUUGUCUUUUCAAACAAAUUGAUGGGGCUUGAUCGAUGCCAUAUUUUUGGAUCACAAUAGGCAUACUAUGAUGAUGAAGAAUCAUUGCAAGAGAUGAUACGACAUGGUGGGCAGCAAGAUGGUCGGAAGGAGGAAGACGAAGAUGGUGGCCAUAGUGGGCAGCAAGAUGAUGAGCUAGAUGGAGAGGAAAAUGGUGAGCAGGAUGAAGAGUUUGAUUAUAUGGAAAAGAGUACGUUCGAAAAAGAACUAGCUCAAGUAGCCUCAGAAACAGCAAGUCGCACCAAGAGGACCAAAUCAUACAAGGAGGAUGAAGAUAAGUUGUUGUGUGAUGCAUGGCUAACAAUUGGACAAGACCCAAUUGCCGGGGCCGAGCAAAAGGGCGGUGCAUAUUGGAAGCGCAUACAUGAGUACUUCCACAAGUACAAGAACCACAUUCCGUACUCAUUUGAAAGUGAUCGCAAUGAAAACUCUUUGACCCAUCGGUGGCAACAUAUCCUAGCUGAAUGCAACAAGUACACCGCUGUCUAUGAUAGUGUGAAGAACCGCCCUGUGAGUGGAGUUGGCAUGGCUUAAGUGAUCCAAGCAAUGGAUGCCUUCCGGGCUAUGAACAAUGGCAAGAAAUUCAACUUACCUCAUUGUUGGAUCAAGCUUCACAAGGCUCCUAAAUGGAUUGAUCUAGUUGCUUCUCUCAAAAUCCAAGCCAAGAAUGCUGCUCAAGGGAAGAAAAGAAGCAAUGAUGGGAUACCAAUUGAUCUUGAAGCUGGUGAAAUAAGUGGGGGUUUGGGGAAGCGUUCAGAUCGACCCCGGGGAAAGAAGCUUUCGAAGGAUGACUUGAAGCGUGAGGCCUCCACUAUUGCCUUGCAAGAAUCAUUGAAAGAGAUGAUUUCUGCUAAAGAGGCCUCAAGUGGAAAGAGAGGGGAAAUUCGAGAACUCAAGAAAGAUGAGCACUUCAAAAGCUUCAUGGACACGAUUCAAGAGAAGUACCGUGGAGAUGCAGCUGUUGCCACUGACCUGGCCGCCACUGCCAAGCUGGAUGCAACUUCAAGAGCCAAAGAAGUGGAGCUCAAGAUGUUGAUGGAGGAGAACCGGAUCAUGAGCAUGGAUUUGAGCCCCUUGGAUGAUGUGGCGAGAGCUUGGUACAUCGAGAAGAAGAAAGAGAUCGCGGAUCGACAAACUUGAAGCUACCCUGUUAUGCAUUUUCUUCUCAUAUUCUCAUGUGAGAGUUGUCAGAUUUAGAACCUAUAUAUGCUGUGAAAGAUGUCAGAUUUUGAACCUAUAUAUGCUGUGAGAGAUGUCAGAUUUUGAAACUAUAAAUGCGUGAGACAUGCCAGAUUUUGAACCUAUAUAUAUGCUGUGAGAUAUAUCAGAUUUUGAACCUAUAUAUGCUGUGAAAGAUGUCAGAUUUUGAACCUAUAUAUGCUGUGAGACAUGCCAGAUUUUGAACCUAUAUAUAAUUUUUGAGUGGUCUAUGCUGCCCGCCAAGCAUUUCUGGGAAAAAAAGAAGGUUCUUGUAAGCUGUAAGUUUUCAUUUUUGUUGGAGCAAGGAAGCUAGCUGGAUUUGCAUUGUUCAGUUCGGUUCAUAUUCAGCAAGGAAGCUAGCUGGAGCUUCUUGUGUCUAGUGACGGACAUAUUUCGCAUGUCAAAUUUUGAUUUAUAUAUGGUCUGAUUUUGAAGCUAUACUAGAAUCCCAGUUCAGUUCAGAUUCUGCAAUAGCCUUGUUGUUCAGCUAUACUUUUUCUUGAGCUUUUGUUGAGCUAUACUAGAAGCUAUAUGUGGUGUGAUUUUGCUAUGGUCAACGUUCACGGUUUUAGUUCAGACAGUUUGUAUCCAUGUUUAUUUAUCAUUAGCUAUUUUUAUGUCAUUAAUUUGUAUGUUUUUAAAUUCAAAUAAAGUAUGCAUGUGUGCUAGCAAAAAAUGCAAAAAAAAACCGCAUUUUCGGACAUGUAGAUGUCCGUUUGGGGGACGCCCUUGGGUGAUGGUGAGGACGGACAUUGGGCGGACACACGUCCGUUUGGUGUACACCAUUGGGUGAUGGGGGCGGACACUGAGCGGACACAUGUCCAUUUGCUUCCCCAAACGGACAAAAAGAAGACAUUUGGGAGAGAAAUUUGGGUAGCCCAUUGGAGAUGCUCCGAGAUCCUCUACUGGAUAUGAUCGAUCACGCUACCACCGAGGAGGACUGUGUGGAUUGCAUGGAGUGCGGUUUCCCUCUAUACCCCUCAGAUGGCCCACAAGGAUAACGCUUUCCUAGUCGUAUUGUCCGCCUGGUGAAUAUGAAAGCAUCAUAACAUGUCAUUUUUAAUACCGCACGGUCAGAUAUCAUGGGUCUACUCUCCACCGUUUGGAAUGAGACUAGGCCUUGGAUUCAUGCGGAAGUUGGGGGUUUAUGAGUGAUCCUAUCUUAUAUCCUUGUUGUGUGGCGUGUCGAGUUGUAGUUCCGUGUUCGUCUUUUCUUCCACUCGUAAAUAUCUUUUUUUGUCUUUACUUUAUACAUCGAGUUUAUACAUCGAGAUUCUGGACGCAAACUUUGUAUUUUCUCGGCGAAAAAACGAUUAAAAUCCCAAGGAAGCAAGUCGAUCUGAUCCAGUCGGAACUGGCCGGACUAUGGGCCCGCUGUGAGGCAAAAAGAAACUUUGGCGAAGUCAGCACGAGAAAACGAACCUACCUAGACCGCAGCACGAAGACGACGACGCAUCAAUGGGCAACACCGGAAGCACCGGCAGCUCCAAUCCGCCGCGGCCUCCUUUUGACGGUCGUGGGCAUGGGCUGCCACCGCCGUACUACCACAGGUACCCGCCUUGGCCCCCAAGUGCCGCCGCGCCGCCACCUGUGCCGGUUCCUGCGCAGGUGGAGCGGCACAGGGCUGUGGCCGUGCACGCCGGCGUCAACGUCAAGGGGGAUACCCUGCGGCUGGUGCCCGACGACGAUGGCCGCUGCCUACUCCUCGCCUUCUCCUUCGAUGCCGACGCGCCCGGAAGGUUCCCCCUUGCUCUUCUUGAAUUCUUGAUUUGUAUUGUCGUUCUGGUUCCUUUGUAGUCAUGCCGACCAUUAGUGUGCAGGCCGUACCCCAGAAUUUGGAGGCCCGGUGCGAAAUCUAAUAUUAGACUCCUAGUGUUACAAAAGCCAAAUAUGAAAAUAACUUUUGGUAAUAUGAUUGUUUGACGAAUUACAUCUUAUCACCAACAAAUCUUGGAAAUCUGAUGUCCUGUGUAUUUCCUUUAAUAGAAACGCUCCAUCCUAGCUUCUAGCAUUUCUUGAUACAAUCUUCAAGUAGUUUUUAUAAGAAACCUUCUCCAAAACAUCAUUUUCAAUUGCUACCAGAGCUAAUCCACUAAAUCUUGAGUCAAAAAGAUGAAAAUCUUGUCUCGCUGUAAAAUGCAAAUAUGACUUCAACAAUUUCAGUUUACAAAACCUUCUCUCUGCUGAUGCAUGGAAUAGCCAACAAAAUUCUACAUGUACUACUUACUCUGGCUUGCUGCUCGCCUGCUCCUCUUGGUGAAUCGGUUAUCGGUUACCAAGCAGUGUGUCACUUCCAACUUGCUGACUUCAAUCGAUGUGUGAAAGCUGUCAACAGAGGGGAUCAAACGAAGAACACGAGUCUGUUCAACAGUGUAUUACAUGAGAAGAUGAAGAUCAGAAGAGAAUACUCAAUACACAGAUGGAAGAUUGAAAGUGGAGUGUACCUAGUCCUUGCCAACGAUGGAUCAGUUUUGGAGGAAUUGCAAAGAAAUUAAUCAGCGGAAGUAGCUACGACGAGCAGAUUGGAGAAUCGAGAGUGCUGCGAUUACGAUAAGAUUUUGGAAGAAUUCCCAUGUAGGAGUAGGUACUACUAAUGCUUUGAUUAUUCCCAACUAAACUCAGGUUAGCAGUACAUAACAGUGCCGCACAGGCGCCCUGGGCCUGUUAGUGUGCUAGCGUAUAGUUACUCUGUUAGAGUUUAUCAUGGACAUAUUUGUUUGAGCCUUGACACUUUUGUUCAGAACAUAGCCUUGAUAAUAUUUAUUUUACAUAUUGGCAUAUGCUUUCAUACUUUUGAUUAUAUGCUUCUAUGUACAUUUUAACAAAACUGGCUCUGUGUCAAUUGUCUGAAUGGUUCAGGUUAGAGUCUGUGUAAUAUUAGGAGCAGGCACAUGUUCAAACAUAUUUGGGGUGCACAUAUUGUGUUGGUGAAGCAUCAACAUCUUUGUCUAAUACUAUAUUAGAGUACCAUAUAUUGUAUGCAAGGCUUGGUGCUUGAGUGGAAACAUGAAUGUUCAAGGGAGUAGCAAAAUUAGUUAUAAAUAUGGAUUUCCAAGCCUAGUUAUAUUCAUCUAGGUAGCUCAGAUAAACUCACAGUACACAAGUCAUAAUAGAGCUUUGAUGGUUUUGGGGGUGUGCUUUCCUUCACAAUUAACAUUACCAAGCCAUACUUGUGAGAUUCACCAAAUUCCUACCUGUCUCUGUGACUCUGUCCCAGUUUGAGGUCAGGCUAUCUCAUUGUAGGUCCUUACUUUUUUCAUAGUGUUCCGUAGCAUCUCUUCCUUUGUGGCAUUGUCUUGUGCAUUCUAUUUUAAUUCUUGUCACUCGAAUUUACCACGCUAAUGUUCAUUAUCUUUUGAUCUUGCAAACAGCAUAACUGUUUACUUCUUUGCACAAGAAGAUGAUGACCAUGUCCUGAAGGCUACAAAGGAAAAUGUGCUCCAACCUGUGAAGAUAACUUUUAAGGAAGGUCAAGGUCAGGAGUUCAAGCAACCUAGUGGAACAGGAAUUAAUGUCUCAAUGUUUGAGGAAUCUGAGCUAACUAAGGUUGGUGAAGAUGGUGUAUUUCCAGUGGCGUUCAAAGUGGAAGUGGGUAUAUCAAGCAACCAAGAAUCGGAAAGGGAACAAGAUGCUGAAGACUCUAAGUCUUUGGUUAAAUUUGCUGUAUUUGUGAAGAAAGAGAAAGCUGAGUAUGGGGUUCGUGUUGUGCAGCAGAUAAUGUGGGUAAAUGGAACUAGGUAUGUCUUGCAGGAGAUAUACGGCAUUAGAAAUACAACUGACAAGAAUGUUCCUGAGGAUGAUUUUGGGAAAGAGUGUGUGGUUUGUCUUUCAGAACCAAGAGAUACAACUGUUCUUCCAUGCAGGCAUAUGGUAAGUUAUCCUUUCCUACUGAAUAUUAUUAUUUCGAUGAAUAGAUCUGACUAUAAGGCUUGUAGUUGUUGAACUUGGUUGUAAACGAAAAAAAAUUGACAACUUUUCAGCCUGAAUAUAUUAGAUGGAAAUAGGCUUGGCAAGAACAGUUAAACUACCUUCAUCUGACAAUACAUGAUGUCGUAGAAAGCAAUAGUCACUUUUUUCUUAUUUUGACUAGGACUAUAUAAAGGUAUAUUUGGGUUGGUAUGGUGAAAAUAGUAUCAUUACAUAUGUUAAAUAUAUCUUCAUAGUAUAAUAUUUUAUAAUUUCUCUUCACAUGAACGUAUAAGAAGUACUACCUCCUUCCCAAUUUAUAAGGUGCCCACACAUUUCGACAUUCAACUUUGACCAUCAAGUUAACCCAAAAGAUAUGGGUUAUGUGCCACAAAAAAUAUACCAUUGUAUUCGCAUUUGAAAGAAGUAUCUAACAGUGUAUUUUUUAUAUCGAAUAAGUUGUAUAAUGAUUGCUCAGUUGAUGGUGAAAGUUAAAUCUCGAAAUAUGAGAGCGCCUUAUAGAAUGGGAAGGUGGGAGGAAUUUUCAAAGAUGUUUGCAAGAGACAGUGCUAGUGUCUAAAACGUCAUCUAUUUACAGAUGGUAGAUCAUUUUGUUAGAGUUUUAGGUUAUUAUUACAUAUUCUGGAGUUGUUUAUUUGGGUUAUUUUCCAUAUAGAUUUUCUUUAAUCUUGACCAGGUGUUGAGAGCAAUGUAAUGUGGGAGGUAAAGAGCAGGACAAUUUAGAGAAGAGGCGGAGUUUGGAAUAAUAUGAUUAGUAUGCCACAUGCACGUUGAUCGUCUAAAUUUAGCAUUAGAAUUGCCCACAGUUACCGUCCAAUUCAUUACGGAAUCUGCUUAGCAGACACUGGAGUAAAAUUUCAUUUCAUUACCAAGAAAGUUCACUCAGUCUCGCUAUUAAGCUAGUUACUGCAAUUCAUUCCUUCUCUUCCAAAUUUCUUCAUGGCAUGCAAUUUUGGCGAAGAUGCAUUGCC